CAGGUACAAGUUAAUCCAUACAUUUAUUACUUUUCAUUAAUCAUGCAUUAUGUUUUCUAGCUGCAUCACUUUAGUUUUGCUUCUAUCUUAGUAGUGGGAAUUAGAUUCCCCUGUCUUGGCAGCAACUUCUAUUUUUCUUCUUUGUUUCAACCAUGUAGUUCUAUGGUGGUGACCUUCGAAAUAUAAGAUAAAGAACCAAAAUGACAUACUUCCUUGCGUUAGCAUUGUAAUAUCUUGCAUAUGCAGUCAUGUAGACUCCACAUAGUGCAGGUAUUCACAUUUUUUUUGUUAAAGCAAUUCAAAUUUGGACAUUGUAUUACACCCCUCCUUUUUUAAAAAAGAACUUGAGAUCUGUAGGUUCGAUUGGAUCUGUAAUUGGCUGUAAUGUAGGCAAUAUGAAAUGGCGAAUUAGUAAUUAAUUUAAAUUCACAAACUAAGGAAACCAUAAUAAGUAUGUUUAUUACUAUUCUUUUUAGAGUAAAAUAAAAAAAAGGUCUUUGAAGUUAUUCUGUAUGAUGUUGUCUGAUCCCCAAACUCUCAAAAUGCUUGCAUUGUGAGGUUAGAGAAAUUGUCCUUGUAUGGAAUGUAAGUCCCAAGCCCUUAUAAUGCUACUUUCAUCCACAGGACUUGUCACGUGCUGUCAUCCAGUUCUAAAUGAGCCCUAACACACUAUACACCCAUAUGUGGCAUGUCACAAUUGAUCCAUUUGUGGUUCAGUAUUGAUGAGUAGUCUAACGCGAGGUUAUGUAUAUCACACAUAUUGGGCUGCUGCACUAUAUCCGAGUGAAGAGAGUGGGAGAGGGGGAUAUCGAGAUGGUGGUCCAAAGGUCAACAUAUAUGUGUGGUGCCCAUAGAUAGAAUCCAAUAGUAUAGAUAUUAUGAGACAUAUAGGUAGCAUUUGGUUGGGAGAUAAGGUCGGAUGGAAGAAUGAUCUUGUCUCUGGUUUGAGGGAUGCAGUGACCCUAUUUUCUUUUUGGUUGGAAAGCGAUGGGAACAAUUUGUUUUCUAUUUGGUCUUAGAUAUAAUAAGUCAAAUCAUGUGGGGCCCAUUUGGCAGUUUUAAUUCUCUUUUUCUUCCUCCUCUCCUUACCUCGUUCCUGAACUGUAGCCACCCAAAGGACUCGCAAGUGCGACGCCCUCUGCCUCCUCCUGUUGAGUCGGCCAUGGAUUAUGCCACUAGCUUCAUGUGUAGCCACCCAAAGGACUCGCACACGGUGGCUGCUCAAAGGUUGCACGACGGCGGCCUCUGAGCUCACAUGUGGAGGCUCCUUGUAUCUCGGCACAGUGGUGGCCCCCCAAGGUCACGCAAGACGGCAAUCUCCCGAGCUCGCGCGAUGGUGGCCCCCUGUGCUCCUCGUCUUCAUUGACCUCCCCUAUGUGCACCUCCUCUUAUCUUCUUCCUCACCAGCGAGCGGGCUUGUCCCACCUUAGGCGACCCCCUGUUCGUCAAAUUUCUGCACAAGCACGCAUGUGAGCAACUGUCGUGGUCGUGUAGCCACCAUGCUUGCGCAGACAAAUAGAAUUGGGGUACUUAAAUAGUUUAAGGAUCUAAAUGUACAGUUUUAUAUUUAGUGAUCUGAUAGAAGAUGCAGUAGUUUAGAGACUAUGGGUGUAACUUGAUCUAUGACAAUGGUUGGAAUCGCUUCCAAUCGCCUCCCAUCGCCUCCGCUAAAAACUUUUUUGUUGAUUUAAUUUGUGGAAGGGUAAUAACAUCAUUGUACAAGGUUCUCUCAAACCCCAACCCCUAUUAUCGGCAGCUACGGCUCCCUGUAACACGCAUUGAUGGACGCAGACGGGUGGAACUCAAAGAAGAUUAAAAAAAACUUAAGAAGAAGAUUUUUAUCUAACUAGCUAUAGUACUUGAAUCAUAUAUCCUAUCUAUGUUACUCAAAAUAUUACUUCAAACUAAGAAAGACAAUACAGCUUAGAAUAUUAAUUAUUUUAUAACAAAUUUUGAAACUAAACCAACCGCAUUUCUUGGGAGUAGACUAUACAGCUUUCAACCGUUUAUUUGUAUUGGAAUGCACGAGGAUAUUACAUGCUGAGUUAUUAGUGUAGUGUACUGGCACAGUAGCGUAUAUAUGGAUGUGUGUCACUUGUAAAGGAAACAAUUAUUUCUAAUAUUUUUGCGUGGCCAUACGUACGUUAGUGCGCACCUUGUAAUGAGCAUUCUUCCUUAAUGUUGAGUUUUGUUUGCACGAGCACUGUAGCUUUAUUACACAGAAUUUCUAUCGACUAGUGCAUCAACCCAUGUUCUGGCAUGGGCUUGAAUUUUAUGAGAUAUAAGUAUUAAGUAUUGUUCUGCUCAUUUCAAAUUAUAAACCAUUUUGGCUAUUAAAGAUAUAUUAUUUUUUAUUCUACCUGAUCAGUAUAUCUAAGUGUAUAAAAGGAACUAUAUACUUUCGAAACAUGUUAUAACUUGAAAUGCGCGGAGUAGAUCUGAAUAAUAAUGAAAUACUCAUAAAUUAUAUGUUUUUCUCUUUGUCUAAUCUUUAACAUAAUAGACAUGAUAGAUACUCUAUAGUCUAUAUCUAGUUAUCAUAAACUUAUUAGUUACUAUUUUUUCAACAAACUAAUCUAUGUAUUUUUAUCUAUAUUACAUUAAAUAUGCAAUUACUUUGAAACCUUACCAUUAAUCACGGUGGCUCUUGUUUUGUUAUGUAUCAAAUUUUUUAUUUUCAAAUUUUAUUCUUAUUGACUGCGACAGAUUUAUUUUUUCUCUCCUUAAGUUAAGUUGAACCCCUUAUAUAUGCUUAUUGUAUCUUUCAUUAACUAUUCUUUUUGUAUUUUUGAAAUAAGAAUUUUAGGACAUAGUUUACAUUCUUAGGAACACAAUAGCAUAAGACAUCAUUUGAAACAUGCACCAUAUUGCUUAAGAUAAGCCACAGAGCUUGAAGUGAGAUCACAAACAGGAUAUAGUGCUAACCUCAAGAGAAUUUUAAUACCUAAAUCUUAUAAUGAUUGACUGAUUGACUUUUUACUCUAAACUAUUCUUAAAAGGUUAGGAAAAUAUAGCCACUAGUGGUCUACCACACUUCUCGAGAUGAUUGAGUUUUCCUAUCAAGGAAUUAUGUUUACAAAUAUGGUUAUAGUAGACAUGUCAAACAUUUUAGUUAAAGUACGUAAAUAUAUCUAAAGUAACAAUCUAUAUCAAUUAUAUGUUAUGGUUACUAAUAUGGCUUGAAAUUUUUUUAUAUUGAUAAGGAAAUAACUUUUUUUGUGAUUAAACAUAACAUAUUUAUUCUAUUGCUCAUGCAUGAUGGCAUUACGUGUAUAUUUACUUUAAUCAAAUCUUACUAUACGUAUUUUAUGAGAAUUUCUAGGAUCUAUCUUUUGUUUUCCUGUCAAGUCUUGUGACGAUUAACAUGCAAGCUAUAGAAGAAACGUCUUGUUAGAAUUUAUAGUAUUUAUCUUUUUUUUUUCUAGUGUGAUUUGUAUUUAGUUGAAAACUAAACUUAAGAUAUAUGAACUCUUGAUACAACUCUUUUUUGACAUUGCAAAUCUACAUUUAUCUUUUAACUUUUAAUUAAAUUGUUGCAAUUUCUUCAAAUGUUAAUUAGAAAUUCUGGUAUUCUUUAUAUUUUAUUCAAAAAACAUUUUUUAUUAUAACGAGUAUAGGUUUCCACAUAUGCUAAAAUUUGGCUUGCAUUGUGACACUAAACAUGUUCAAUUUAUUAUGUCAUACGAUUAUAUGUGUUGUAUUAUUUAUAUAUCAUAGAGUGAAUAUUGAUAUGACAUAAUGUUUCAGUAAAAACAUAUAUACUUGUUUAAAAUGAUAAUUAUUGAAUUUAUUAUCACGAAGUAUAGAUAUAAAGUGUUAUUGCAACAUCGUUUGCUAUGUGAACAUUUUCCAUGUUUCAUAACUUUUAAAAUAAAUGUUAUCCAAAUUUAUACAUGUUUAUUUGAUAUACAUGGUGCAACAUUGCAUUUAGUUAUUUUAUUUCACGAUUAUUGAAUUAUGAAACUUAGAAAUAUAUACAUGUACCAUACUUUUUGUUAAUAUUGAUAUUUUUAAUAUUAUAUAUUACUAUUUACACGUCAAUUUUAGAUAUGUUUUGUUUAUCUUCAAUUAUGGCUAAGGUACAUACAAAUAUAAAGUUAAUGCCUUGCAUUAUAUUUCACAAAGACAUAAAUGGAUAGGUUCAACACGAACAUAUAAUAUUAAUUUGCAUUAUUUUUCAUAAUGAUAAAGGUGGAGAAUUUAUAAUUAGGAGGCAUUUUAAAUUAUGUUCCAUAAGCGUAUAUUGGGUAGUUUAGGUACAAAGUUAGAAUAUUAUUUUGUAUUAUCUUUCACAAUGACAAAAGCAAGGUAAUUUAGACACAAUUUUAGGGGUUUAUUUAAAUUAUGUUUCAUAAUCGCCAAGGUGGGUAAUUUGGAUGAAAAAUCAGGGAGUGAUUUUGAAUUAUUUUUUAUGAUGACAUACAUGGGUAAUUUAUAUACAAAUAUAGAGGGUUAUUUUGAAUUAUCUUUUGUAAUGUCACAAUUGGGUAAAUUAAAUGCAAAAUUAGGGGUUACUUUAUUGUAUUUUCAUAAUGGCAGUAGUGGGUAAUGUUUUAUAAACUAUAAUAGAUGCAAUGGCUAUUAUCACUGACGAUAUUAGAGUUUAUCAAAUGAAAGGCUAGUUGUUUUUGAUUAUUGUCAUAAUUUGGAGGAUUUUGUUGUGUCUCUGUUGGGGUCUCUAAUUAGAAUUUAUAGGAUUUAUCUUUUUUUCUAGUGUCUGGUGAGAAUUAACGUGGUAUCUCUGUUGGGGCUUGUAAUAAUAAGAUUGGUCACAGCAGGCAGUGAAUCAUUCAGGCGGGUUCAGAGUUUAUUAGCUGAGAAUAUGUCGUGCAGAAUAAUAGUGCUGAUUUUGCUUCAGAUUAGGAAUCUCCGUACUUCUAUAGGUCAUAGGAGCAACGAAGGGGAAAUUCGUCAUGAACAUAGCUAUACUUUCUUACUUUUGUAUCCCAAGAAACACUCGUGCUUUUUUCUUUCCUUUUACUUAGGCCUUAUUUAGUUCACUUCAAAAACCAUAAAAUUUUCAAGAUUUCCCAUCACAUCGAAUAUUGCGGGACGUGCAUAGAGCAUUAAAUAUAAAUGGAAACAAAAACUAAUUGUACAGUUUGCCUUUAAAUUGCGAGACGAAUCUUUUAAUCUUAGUUACUCCAUGAUUGGACAAUGUUUGUCAAAUAAAAACGAAAUUGCUACAGUAUCAAAAUCUAAAAACUUUUUGAAUCUAAACAAUGCCUUAGUUGCAUAUGCAUAAAGUAUAAUAUAAAAAAGGAUGAUAAAAAAUUGUGUGCUAGAGGUCGCAUACGUUUCUUCUUGAUGUGCUUUGCAUUUGUAGCAUAUCACAACACUGCACGGUAAAUUAUUUUUUGUCUAAUUGGCCUGAAAUUCUUGCAGGCUGUCAGAGAUGUGAAUGAUGAGCCGCAGGUUGAAAAUUUAAAGGAUAUUGGCUUGAUACUUGUAAAAAAAUGUGAUGGUUUACCUCUUGGGAUCAAAGUAAUGGGAGGUCUCCUGAGUCGGAAAAGGAUAACACGAACCGACUGGCAAAAGGUCUUAGAUGAUUCUCUAUGGUCAGUAUCACAAAUGCCUCAAGAGCUAAAUUAUGCAGUAUAUCUUAGCUAUGAAGAUCUAGACCCUUGUUUGAAGCCUUGCUUUUUGCACUACUCCCUCCUUCCAAGGGGCAGAUUGUUUUAUGAUUAUGACAUUGUUGCCAUGUGGAUUAGUGAAGGAUUUGUUCAUGGAAUUUCACGUGACUUAGAAGACAUAGGAAGGGAAUACUAUGACGAGUUAAUACAGCGGAACCUUAUUGAGCCAGAUAUGAAGUUUAUUGAUCAAAGUGUUUGCAACAUGCAUGAUGUUGUCCGGUCCUUUGCUCAGAACAUGUUCCGAGACGAAGCACUCAUAACUCACAAUAGUAGAAUUGGGAUUGACAAGCUUAAAGCACAAAAGUUUAUUCGGUUAUCUCUCGAAAGCAAACAAUCGGAACAACCUGAUUUGGAGUGGUGUUCUCUACAAACACAAAUGUCACUGAGAACAAUGAUUUUAUUUGGUAAUAUAAAGAUUCAACCAGGUGAUUCAUUUCAUUCUUUUUCAAGUCUCCGAACACUACACUUGGACAGUGUAAAUAUUGUUGCAACACCCAAAUCUUUGUAUCAGCUGAAACAUCUGAGGUAUCUGUCAAUAGGAAAUAGUAAUAUAUCUAAGUUAUCAGAAGACAUUGGCAAGUUGAAAUUCUUGCAGUACAUUAGCCUUUCCGAUUGUCAGAGUUUGACCAAGCUUCCCAGUAGCAUCGGGGUGCUACAAGACUUGAGAUUUCUCAGUCUUCUCAGAACAAAUAUAAGUGUUGUACCAAGGGAGUUUUGUGGUCUAACUUCUUUGAGGAAAUUAUACGGAUUUCCAGCCCACAUGGACUGUGAUCACUGUAGUUUGGAGGAACUAGGGUCUCUCUCCCAGCUAACUGAACUUGAUAUCAGUUUCUUGGAGAAUGUAGCUUCUUCCUCAUCUGCUAUAGAGGCCAAACUUGGUGGAAAGAAGCGCCUAAGGUAUCUCUCACUUCAUUGCACCAGUAGACUUGGAGAUGAUGGCCUAUUGGUAAAAAAGGAAGAAGGGAUCUCUGAGAAAGCGAAGAGACAAAUCGAGGAGGUCUUUGAUGAGCUCUGCCCUCCGCAUGGCUUAGAACACCUUUCAGUCAACGGGUAUUUUGGUGAGCGGCUCCCAGGUUGGAUGAUGCCAGCAGCAGCAUAUAUGCCGCUUAGGAGCUUGAGGACUCUAAUGAUGGAUGACUUGGCCUGCUGCACGGAGCUUCCUAGUGGCAUGAGUCAGCUACCCUGCUUGGAGCUUCUGCAGAUUGUUCGUGCCCCGGCCAUCAAGUGUGUUCGCCUUGAAUGCCUACAACCAAACAAUCAAGUAGGUGUUGCGUUUCCCAGUCUACAGAAGCUGCGUUUUGUGGGAAUGUUCGAAUGGGAGGAAUGGGUGUGGGAGGAACAAGUGAAAGGCAUGCCUAUCUUGGAGUUGCUUAAACUGAAAAUGUGCAAGUUGAGGCGUGUGCCACCAGGCCUGGCCUUCCACGCAAGGGCUUUGAAGAAUUUAUAUAUAUAUGAUGUGAAGCAUCUAAGCUCUUUGGAGAACUUUGCUUCUGUGGUCCACCUCGAUGUGUUUAGAAACACUCACCUGGAGAGGAUCAGUAAUCUACCAAAACUGCAGAAGCUUGUCAUUCUCAUGUGCCCAAAGCUGAAGGUAGUGGAUGGCAUGCCUGCACUCCAGAGACUCGAACUGGGGGAUUAUGACAUGGAAACAGUCCCUAGGUAUCUGCAGGAUGUAAACCCAAGACAUUUGCUGCUGGAUUGUUCCUUAUCGCUGCUCACGUGUAUAGCAGCAGGAAAAUCUGGUCCUGAAUGGGAUAAGUUUCGCCAUAUCCAGCAAGUCAAAGCCUAUGCAAAUGAAGAAGGCUGUCCAAGGAAGUGGUAUGUGCUCUACACAAGGAACCCUUACCGCUUCGAGACAAAUAUCAGCCGCUCUGCUAUUGCCCAAGGUAAAUUAACACAGCCGCCUUCCAAUGUAAUUUAUUUUUUGGCACUCUGUUUUCCUCGGUUUCCUUCAAUCAGUUCAAUUCAUCUUCUGCAGCUCACGGACGCCGCAUAUGGCUUGCUUACUCGGAAACAUGUCCCAUUGAAGAUGAGUGGCCCACAGGAGGACACACGUAUGUAGAAAAACGUAUGCCCCUCUGCGUACGCUUCAGGUAAAAAAGUUGGCUACACGUUGAUUGCUUCCCUCUGUUUCAGUAAUUGUGCAUGCUUACACCUCCUUGACACGUGAUUAAUUGAACAUGGCAAGUUCUUUACCAUUUCAUUUCGUCCGUGCAACGUAUUUUUGCAACAUGUGCAGGUGCAACGCCUAUCGCCACUUGAAUGGCUGGUUUGAUGAAGCGUGCCUGCACUGCCAUGAAGCCGACAACAUCGCUUCCCCAUCUGAUCAGUGGACCCAAGGAGAAGUGCUUUCAGCCCGUAUAAAGACUGUUUGGGCAUGAGUGGAGGAAACGUCUUUAGUUUAGUGUGAGUAUGUGCAUCUUGGCUAUUCCUUGAUCUGCUUCUGUACCUUGUGUAUAAGAUCCUCAGCUUGUGUAUGUUCAUUUUACUGCUUUUUAGGGGCUUGUGUUCGAUCUUAUACUGUAACAUCUAGAAUACGUUUAUUGCGUUAGAAGUGUAAAGUGGUAUAAUAAUAAUAAUUGUAAUUUUAUCCAUCACUCAAAUGAAUGAUCAGAGAUUUUAGAUGCGUAGAGCUCGUCGAAUGCUUUCAGUUGCACUACUCAUAUGUAUUGUUUGGAAUUUGGAUCAUGGAGAUAUAAAUUUCAGAAGUUUUAAGAAAGAAAAAAUAAACAGGACCUUUUACUGUAGUGUGACGCGUGGUGGCCUUUUAUAUCCGCUCCAAGGCCUUUAGGUUCCAUCCAUAGCUUUUCAUAUUCAGGAUAAAAAAAAGAGGAGAGGGGAGAAAAGAGAAAGGAGAAGGGAGAAGGGGAGGAUAGGGCCUAGGGUUUUGCCGCCGUCGUAGCCGCCGCCGCCGCUGUCGGUCAUCCGUGGUGGUCGUUCUUCCUUCCGUGGAAAAUACGGUUUGGUUCUACCUUGUAUCUUGGCUGUUCCAUUGAUCUACCAUGUCCCUUUUACUGUCCAUGAGGGCUUAGCCAUGUUUGGCGUAGAUCGGAAUAACAAGGCUUUUAUGGCGGCAAGGAUCGUGGCGAGUUGGAUCGGAGAUAAUGGAAAGGUGAAGAGGCGGAGAAGAAGGAGUAGACGCCAGGAGUUUCGGCGUCGUGCUCGCUGUGGUUCUCUAGGUGAGAAGCCAAAUAUUAAUCCCCUUCAUCUGAUCAAGUUUUGCGGAUUAAAUCGCUUAUUUGGGAUUGGGUUUAGUGGAGAAAUUCUUGAAGUCAUUUUCGUUCAUGUCCUGAAAUUCUCGUCAGACUGAGCAGUCACUGUUCAUCGUAAUGUUAGGGCAUUUUAGAGGCUUUAAUAAUUUUUGAGCCUGUGGACAAAGUUGUAGAGGACUUCAAUAUCUUUCUUUAGACGCCAAGAACUCUGUCAGAGCAGUUAUAAUUUGUGAGAUAUCGAGUUUUCAAUCUGACUGUUUUCCAGUGACGAAAAUCUGGACAGUUUUGGAUCUAAACAGUUUUUGACCCUGUUAAUGAAAUAAUUAGGUCUUUGAUUAUUAACAAAUGUUUUAGGAUUUUUGUUAAGCUUUCUAUAUUGGUAAAGUUUGUAACUUUUGAAUAAGUAUAUCACCAGUUAUGAAUUUUUGAAGUUUGAUGUUCUGUUUUGAAGGUCAGAAAUAUUCAGUUGUGUUCUAUGGUUAAUUAUACCAUCUUGCAGAUCUCUGAUGCAAAACCUUACAAUACAAAAGUUGUAUAUAACAGAGUUUUACAUGAUCUGAUAAAUUAUGGUAAUUUUUGGAUGAGUAUUCUGAAGUAUAUGAAAAAGAGAAGAGUCGGUGCUGCUGUCUUGAUCGGUAGCGCAAACGGUAGAGGCUUGAAUGUCGGGUUUGGGGCGCAUUAGUGCGUAUUUGUUCUUACUCUUGCUUGUAUGUUGGUGUAUGUACUGAGUAGUAUUUGUGAUCAGGUGGUAGCACUUCGGAACAUCGCUAGUGUUUUUGUUCUCCUUCGGUAAAGAGGCAAGUGAAUGUAGCGGUGGUUUGCUACCGUUUUGGCUUGUUAUUUUUAUCACCUACAGUUUAUUGUCUAUAAGAAUGUCAUCCCUCUCAUAUCUAAAAUUUAUGAUUUUGGUAUAUUUAGUCUUAGUUAAAUUGUGGUCUUAUUUAAGUAUUUAUGGUGAUGGUAUUAUUUUAUAUUGUUAUUUGUGGCUAGCCCACAAACCUGAAUUUGAAGUCGGAGUAUCAUUGGUGAUUUAUUAAUUUUAUUGCAACAUACCAAGUGCAUUGCAUCAUUCAUUGGCAUUGGAAGUUAUGUCUUGACCUAUGGUCAUGACUGUACCGGUAUGCAUCAUGGGAUGCAGCUCCACACCUUAUUGGGUGUGCAGGCAGGAGACAUAUGCAUUGCAUUCAUAUGCAUUCAUGAGAAGUAUGUUAUUGAAGAGAUUUUAUCCACGUUAUUAUGAAGCUCUGUAUUAUUGGCUAUGUUCCAAAUUGGAAGACUGUUACUUUUAGUAUGAUAUUAUGUCAAUUGAGAACAUCAUAUUAAAUUGAUGUUAAUUCAAAUUGUGGUUUCAAUAGCUUGUCAAAACAAGUUCGCUUGCUGAGAUGUUUCGUCUCACCCUUGCUUUACUCAAUCCAGGUACUUGAUGCUUACUUGGAAGGGAAGAGACUUAGCUGCACGUCACACACGUAUUCAUUUAGAGACCUUGUGUUUUAAUAAAUAAUAAUUUGGUUUGCUUAUUGGUUUUGAAGGCGGUUGUUAAAGUGUGGGUGUUAAACUUAAUUCUUGUUGAAGUAACUUAUUUGCGUUAGGAUGUUCAUUAAUCCUAGUUUGGUAUUUUAGUAAUUUUUUUUUAUAUUUUAUUCUUCCGCUUGCUAUAAAUACAAAGAAGAUACUGUCAAAUUGUUUAUGGUUGUGUGCAGCUGUUGUUUGUGUAGUCUAGUAGCAUCCCGGUGUAUUUGUGGUUUUCGGGGUGUUACAUAUACAGUAUGGACACAUGCCACAUUGCAGAAAUAAAUGUUCUAUCUGCUACUGAACAUGUACACAGAUUGCAAAAUUAUAUGUUCUGUAAUUUCACUAUUUUAUCAGGCUUACGAUAGUGAAUGGUAAACUGGUUGUGAUGUCAUCAAUGGACUCAUGGCACACUGCAAAUACAUAUGUGUUACAUUUCUUAUGAACUUUUAUGUUUUUUUAUUCUGGAUUGGAGCAUGCUCGCACUCCAAAUCCUCCAAUAGCCCUUUGCUCAGUGGAGACAAAUCUAUAACCAGGUGUGCCCGGAGGAUAUCCCAGCUGCCCGUAACCAAAUUCCUCCAAUUACUAGUUUCCUGGGCUCCCUGGAAAUACCAGAAUAUUGUGGUGUCCAACCACCUCCUGCUGUCAAUGAGAAAGCUGGCACCUUCGAUAUCACUCUUGCGAUCUUGGCGAGCAGGUCACUGACAUCUUGGUGGGCACCAUUAGUUUUUGUUUUUAUUUAAAUUUAAUGCUAUAUACAUGUACCGUAAGAUUCGAUAUGACGAAAAAUCUUAAAAAAAUACAAAUUUUUUUUGGGAAGCCCUAGGCACCCCAAACCAGGUGAGGUCACACGGGCCUAUGCGAGAUCCGGCGUGCCAGCAAACUGGCUCCUAACAGAGUGUUCGAUGACAGAAUAAUUCCCAUCCCCGCCAAUACCAGUCCUAUCCAUGAAAAGGCGAAGAAGGCCCACGUCGGCAUGCUCUGUCGCUAGUCCCCACUAGCGCCUUCUGCGGGUCCCGUCACCAGUCCUCGCUGAUCGGUCUCUCAUCUUCUCCACCGGGACCCCUCGCCGCCGUCUCCUCUGCCUCUCAUCUUCUGCAACAACGGGUAGGCAAAGAGGUGGCAUGUGUGGCUCGCCGGCCGUUGAGCCGAGGCAGAGCGCGCGUCUCGGCAUCAAAGACAAAGGAUGCACGGGAGUCAAUUGGAAGUCGAUGCAGGAGGAGCGUAGGAGAGAGAAGGCACUGUGCUAUAUGUUUUUUUUUUGUUAUUUAUGGUGCAUUGUUGGUGAGCGUGAUGAGUCCUAUCCUACAAUGAGACUUAUGAGCAGUUUGGGAGUGUACCCAAACUAAUUUUGGGUUGGGUUGAAGUGAACCCAUCACGCCUUUGGGUAGAAGGACAGGGUUAUCCCAUAUUUUUUAUUUGGUUGGAGAUAAACUGUGUCGGGGUUUGGAUUCAUGACACGUGGGUCCUGCAUGUCAGCCUUCUAUCAAUUCUUCUCCCAUGGGUCAUCCUUUGAUCGUCCCUGACACCGCCGCUCUCUGCUCCCACACUAUCGUGGCCCUCUACAACCAAUGCAUCUCGCUCGCGCAGCUCUCUUGGCUUGCCUGCGCAUGGGCACAAUUGCCACGUCUGGCCAUAGAAGAGACCGUGUUCCGACUAUCGGAUCCCUACGUCCAGCAAUGGUUGUUGUUUAUAUUCAAUUCGAGAGCACCCAAAUCAGGGGUUACAAUGAAAGAGAGUGAAUCGACACGAGAUCACUCGGUGCUAUCAAGCCUCGUUGGUGGCGAGGAAGAAGAAAUGUUCCCCUCUCUCACUGGAUUGCUAACCAUGCCUACAAAAAGGAUGGAUACAAAACUCCCCGAUUUCUAGGAAGCCCCUACAAUCGAUUUUCAAGCCGCCUCUACAAAUCAAUUUUCAGAAAUCAUGCGAUUUUAGGCUAAAAAAUAGGAACAAAAAGUGGCACCAUUGGUCCACCAACCCUUCCCCUCACACAUAUCUUCCUCUACCACUGCACCCUACACUCAAUGUGUCUAUAACCUAUUUUUGGCUUGCAGCAUAAGCCACAAUAUUUUUUGUACACUUUGUGGCCGACGGGAUUUGAACCCAUGACCUUCCCCUCACAUGUAUCCUCUUCUACCACUACACCUCACACUUAAUCUGUCUAUAAUCCAUUUUUGCACACUUCGUGGCCGAUGAAAUUCGAACCCAUGACAACCCUCCCCCCGCCUAGCACGUAUCCUCCUGUAUCACCUCACACUCAAUGUUUUUAUAAUCCAUUUUUGCUUCCCAAAAUAUUAUACCGAGCAUAAAUUGAUUGUCUGAGGCCCUAAACGAUUUCAUAUGAACAAGUUAUCAACUAUAAAGUUUCAUAACUUUUUUAUAUCUAUAACUUUCAUGUUGGUAAUUUUUCCAUCUGAGAUCGUUUCAAAAAUUUGAAUUUAAAAUUUACAAGAUUCAAACGUAAUUUUUCAUGAUAAGAUGAUAGCAAAUGAAAAAGCUAUCAACUAGAAAGUUUCAUAACUUUUCGAAAUCUACAACUUUCAAUUUUGCUAUUUGUCCAUCCGCGAUCGUUUAAAAAAUCAUAAUUUGAAAUUUUGAAAAUUUAAGCAUAGUUUUCUUGACAACAUGAUUUCGAUAACAAGUUAGUCAUCACCGAGUUCAUAUGAAGCCAACGGUCUGGCUUCCACGAUGGAUUUGUGGACCGAAGCAGACCGGCGUUAGACAUGUAGAUAUUAUGAGACUCGAAAUAGACGUCUUGCUAUUGAUGGAAAUAUCGCCUACCGCUGAAAGCACAACAACAUUAAAUCCCUAAAGUAUUUACUCCCAGGAGUUGAAAGAACUACUAAGGCCUUUGUAAACCACUAGGCUACAGACCUUUGUUUCUGUAAACAUGCAUGCUUACACCUCCUUGACACUAGAUCAAUCGGACAUGGCAAAAACGAGAUAAACUUUUUAUACAGUUUAUUUGUAAAUCGCGAGAUAAACUUUUUAAGUCUAGUUAGUCCAUGAUUGGACAAUAUUUACCAAAUAAAAACGAAAGUGCUACAAAACCAAAAAAAUUUAGGCACUAAACAAGGCCUGACUGUUAGAACACCCAUGGUCACUUGGUUCUGUAGUUUGACGAAGGCUGCCUGCACUGCCGUGAAGGCGACGGCAUCGAUUCCCCAUCAGAUCAGUGGGCAGAAGCAGCAGUGUAUUCUGGGUGUACACAGAUUAUUAUGCAUGCAUUUUGGGAAUUAUCGUUGUUCUGCAUCUGUACCUUGUGCUCGUAGGAGCACAAAACAGAGCUUGUUCUGUUUUCAGACAUUGUUCACUCUGCUUUCUUGAUGCUCCUCAAGUUGCUGUACCCAAGCCAAACUAGCAUACGAAUUAGCGGUCUCAUCCCAGCCAUCAAUCAAAUGCCCAUCGCCCACUUAGCAAGUCUUCCUGUUUGCUACCAACGGGGGCUUCACAUCUACCGUCGGUAUUAUUAUUUCCUCAUUCAAUCUCCUCCGUUAAACAAGUCAAAAUUCCCUUAUAUAUAGCAGCAAAGAAAUGGACGAAUAUUGGUAUCUUUUAUGACGAGAGCUGAUUGUGACAUCCAUCCAUUAUUAUUAUAUUAGCCUGCCGUGGAGCAUGCAUGGACGGACGACGCCACAGUAGACUGAACUGCAACGUCUGUUGAACACAACGUCUGUCUGUUGCAUGAUGAUGCUGAUGAUGGCUCACCCUGUUGAACCGUGGAAGCAAGUUCGGACUGAACUGCAGCAGCAAUUUACAAGCCCGUUUUGAUCGCGUGUGUUGGAAUGGAACCGCUCGUGCCCAGGCUCUGGAUGGAUGGUUUUCGGCUUCCCUGUGUCUCGCUCGCACUGCUACCAUCAUCUCGUGACUCAAACAUCAUGUAUGCCUGGCCUUGUUUAGUUCCUAAAAAAUUUUGCAAAAUUUUUCAGAUUCUCCGUCACAUCAAAUCUUUAGACGCAUACAUGAAGUAUUAAAUAUAGAUGAAAAUAAAACUAAUUGCACAGUUUGGUCGAAAUUGAUGAGAUGAAUCUUUUAAGUCUAGGUAGUACAUAAUUAGAUAAUAUUUGUCAAAUACAAACGAAAGUGUUACUAUUCCAAUUUUGUAAAAAAAUUUGGAACUAAACAAGGCCAACUUUCAUCUACGUUCCAGUGCUAGAUGGCUCCCCACACUAACUUGGCAUAAGUUGGCCAUACAUCAUUACAUUAUUUAAUUUACAGAGGAUAGACAUUGACCAAGGCUAGAGCCUCGCAUAGUCAGGGGUCACCUUCAUCCAACAAACACGCUGAGUCAGAUUUGUCGCGAUCAUUUUGGAAUAUAUAAUCCCAAAGCAUCUGAUUCCACUACUAAAGCUGAUGAUUCUUAUAAUAUAUUUUUUAUGAAAAAAUAAAAAAACGCAGGAAGUGGCCUACAUUGAAUGCACAAAAUAUUGUUUCCACACAGUACAAAGAUAGAUUGCACAAUCGUCUUUGUGCCUGCUUGGAUUCCACCACUAAUCGAACGAAGCUGCCUGGCACUUUCCUUCUCACCUUGCACUGUCACCACACGACCCACUCCAACCACCACCUUCUUCCCUGAAUCAUCACCAUUUUCCUUCCCAGCUUCAAGCAGCCAAACGGAAGACACCAACCAGCUACUGCGAUUCUUGCGGACAACUUGACUCCAUGCAUGUUGCUGCUCAACCUUUCAUCACUAACGGGCAUGCCACAAUCCAGCAGUAGCAUCUGGUUGGUCAGGUCGGCGAUGUCCAUGCUGAUUCCUGCCUAGCCAUUGACCAAUAAUACAUCCUGUUGUUGCAACGCCUCUCCGCUUCCGGCCAUUGCUCAGCUCAUCGGACUCAGGUUUGUUUCCUUAACCGUUACGUUUCUGCAGUGGCUUAUGCUUAGCAAGAUCUGCCCAUAUAGCUACUGCCCCCAGUGACCCACCGGCACGGCACAGUCCAGCAGUAGUAUAAGGUGGGUCAGGUCGAAGAUGUCCAUACUGAUACCUGUCUAACCAUUAACUAAGAUCGAGAUCCUACUCCACGACCAAGCUAGAACGAACAACAGUGGCACUGCCUCACCAAUUCUGGCCAUUGCACAGCUCGUCAACUUGAGGUUUGUUUCCUUAACCGUUACGUUUCUGCAGCUAGUUGUGCACAGAUAGUGCCCACUGUGUUGUAAUUGUUAUAUGUCUCUGCAGCUGCUUAUGAGUAUCUAGAUCUGUGUAUAUAGUUGCCACUGUCAUGUACUUGUAUCAAUAAUGAACGAGAAGUCAGUACUAGUGCCGCGAUGGCUGCAUGUACAGAUGGCAGAUGAUUGAAUCUUUGUUGUAUAAAAUUGAAAUGCAGUGUUGAAAUUAACAUCUGUUCUAAUUUCGUUACAGCAAAAACGGAAGUUCCCAAUCAUGGCCGGUGUCCUAGAUGCUUUGGCAUCCUACAUCCAAAACAUGCUUCUGCAGAUGGCGGCAGAAGAGGUGCAUAUGUUGCUUGGGGUGUCCGGUGAGAUUGACAACAUGGACAUCAAGCUUCGGGAUCUAAAGAACAUCCUUGCUGAUGCUGAUAGGAGGAACAUCACUGACAAAAGCGUCCUAGCAUGGGGGAUAGAGCUAAGGAAUGCUAUGUAUGAUGCCACUGAUAUCCUCGACCUUUGCAAGCUCAAGGCUAUGGAGCAAGGCCAAAGGCAUGAUGCCGGAUGCUUCAACCCGUUGCUCUUCUGCAUACGGAAUCCCCUACAUGCCCACGAUAUUGGAAGCCGCAUCAAGAACCUUAACAAGAGGCUAGACGACAUCAAGGCACGUGGUGCAUCAUUCAACUUCCUGAACCUUAGUACUUAUGAGGAUCGUGGAAGAAAUGUGAUAUCAUAUGGUUCUAGUACCCGUGAGACAUCGGGGGGCCUUGUUGAGUCUGGUUUGGUUGGUGAGAAGAUUGAAGAGGACACAAUAAAUCUUGUGGAGAUGCUAACAAAGAAGUAUCCUACCGACGACAACAAAUCCAACAAAAUAAUGGUUUUCUCUAUUGUGGGAGCUGGUGGGAUUGGUAAAACCACCCUUGCUCAAAAGAUCUUCAACAAUGAAGUCAUAAAGGAUGAGUUCAAAAAGAAAAUAUGGUUGAGUGUCAACCAAGGCUUUGAUGAUAUUGAAAUGUUAAGGAGGGUUAUUAUCGAAGCUGGUGGAAACCACCAUGAUUGUGGAAAUGCAAAGGUGUCACUAGAACACACUCUAAUAGAAGCUUUGAAGGGACAAAAAACCUUAUUAAUAAUAGAUGAUGUCUGGGACAGCCGUAUAUGGGAAGGCGUGCUUAGAACUCCCUUUGUCAAUGCCAUGCUAGCUGAAGGUAGCCGUGUGCUGGUCACCACAAGGCAUGACACAGUGGCACGUCAGAUGAAGGCGGAGGAGCCCUACCAUCGUAUUGACAGACUUGGGCUUGAAGAUGCAUGGAUGCUGCUCAAGAAGCAGGUUCAAGUUAAUCCAUACAUUUAUUACUUUUCAUUAAUCAUGCGUUAUGUUUUCUAGCUGCAUCACUUUAUUUGCUUCUAUCUUAGUAGUGGGAACUAGAUUCCCUGUCUUGGCAGCAACUUCUAUUUUUCUUCUUUGUUUCAACCAUGUAGUUCUAUGGUUGUGACCUUCGAAAAAUAAGAUAAAGAAACAAAAUGACAUACUUCCUUGCGUUAGCAUUGUAAUAUCUUGCAUAUGCAGUCAUGUAGACUCCACAUAUAGUGCAGGUAUUCACUUUUUUUGUUAAAGCAAUUCAAAAUUGGACAUUGUAUUACACUCCCUCCUUUUUUUAAAAGAACUUGAGAUCUGUAGGUUCGAUUGGAUCUGUAAUUGGCUGUAAUGUAGGCAAUAUGAAAUGGCGAAUUAGUAACUAAUUUAAAUUCACAAACUAAGGAAACCAUAAUAAGUAUGUUUAUCACUAUUCUUUUUAGAGUAAAAUAAAAAAAAGGUCUUUGAAGUUAUUCUGUAUGAUGUUGUCUGAUCCUCAAACUCUCAAAAUGCUUGCAUUGUGAGGUUAUAGAAAUUGUCCUUGUAUGGAAUGUAAGUCCCAAGCCCUUAUAAUGCUACUUUCAUCCACAGGACUUGUCACGUGUUGUCAUCUAGUCUUGUUCUUAAUGAGCCCUAACACACUAUACACCCUCAUGUGGCAUGUCACAAUUGAUCCAUUUGUGGUUCAGUAUUGAUGAGUAGUCUAACACGAGGUUAUGUAUAUCACACAUAUUGGGCUGUUGCACUAUAUCCGAGCGAAGAGAGAGAGAGGGGGAACUCGGGAUGGUGGUCCAAAGGCCAACAUAUAUGUGUGGUGCCCAUAGAUAGAAUCGACUAGUACAGAUAUUAUGAGACAUAUAGGUAGCAUUUGGUUAGGAGAUAAGGUGGGAUGGAAGAAUGAUCUUGUCUCUGGUUGGAGGGAUGCAGUGACCCUAUUUUCUUUUUGGUUGGAAAGCGAUGGGACCAAUUUGUUUUCUAUUUGGUCUUAGAUAUAAUAACUCAAAUCAUGUGGGUCCCAUUUGGCAGUUUUAAUUCUCUUUUUCUUCCUCCUCUCCUUACCUUGUUCACGAACUGUAGCCACCCAAAGGACUCGCAAGUGCGACACCCUCUGCCUCCUCCCGUUGAGUCGGCCAUGGCUUAUGCCACCUGCUUCAUGUGUAGCCACCCAAAGGACUCGCGCACGGUGGCUCCUAAAAGGUUGCACGACGGCAGCCUCUGAGCUCACGCGUGGAGGCUCCUCUUAUCUCGGCACAGUGGUGCCCCCCCAAGGUCAUGCAAGGCGGCAAUCUCCCGAGCUCGCGCGAUGGUGGCCCCCUGUGCUCCUCGUCUUCAUUGACCUCCCGUAUGUGCACCUCCUCUUGUCUUCUUCCUCACCAGUGAGUGGGCUUGUCCCACCUCAGGUGACCCCCUGUUCGUCAAAUUUCUGCACAAGCACGCAUGUGAGCAACUAUCGUGGUCGUGUAGCCACCAUGCUUGCGCAGCCAAAUAGAAUUGGGGUAUGAAAUAGUUUAAGGAUCUAAAUGUACAGUUUUACAUUUAGUGAUCUGAUAGAAGAUGCCGUAGUUUAGAGACUAUGGGUGUAAUUUGCUCUAUGACAAUGGUUGGAAUCGCUUCCAAUCGCCUCCCAUCGCCUCCGCUAAAAACUUUUUUCUUGAUUUAAUUUGUGGAAGGGUAAUAACAUCAUUGUACAAGGUUCUCUGAAACCCCAACCCCUAUCAUCGGCAGCGACGGCUCCCUGUAACACGCAUUGGUGGACGCAGACGGGUGGAACUCAUAGAAGAUUUAAAAAAACUUAAGAAGAAGAUUUUUAUCUAACUAGCUAUAGUACUUGAAUCAAACAUCCUAUCUAUGUUACUCAAAAUAUUACUUUUACAAUUAUGAAUUUACCCUUUUACCCUUCAUUAAAAAAGAAAUACAAAAGGAGAAAUUACCGCUCCUCUAUUUAGGGUCUUAAUUCCUAUAAUUUUGGAGGCGAUGGGAGGCAAUGUGACAUCUAUGGCCCACCGACCAUAGACACACCUAUUGCCUCCCAUCACCUUGCUUCCAUCGCUUUGCUUCUCAUCGCCUCUCCAACCAUUGUAAAAAUAUUAAUUAUAGUAUUAUUACUGGACGUACGUGUAUGUGGAGAAGGCAUUGCUUAUGAAUUGUAUACAACAGUAUUUAAAAUUGAUUUUUGAACGUGAAGCUGGUGGAAGCGUGAUAUAUAGCAAAGAAUCCACAUACCAACGCUAAACUCAUGGUGGCAAUUAAUGUACAUGCUUUGUAAACUGCAAUUGCCCACUGGGUGAAAUCUAAGGAAGAGUGGGCCAAGAAACUAAUAUUAGACCUAGUACCACUUAGAAUAUUAAUUAUUUUAUAACAAAAUUUGAAACUAAACCAACCGCAUUUGUUGGGAGUAGACUAUACAGCUUUCAACCGUUUAUUUGUAUUGGAAUGCACGAGGAUAUUACAUGCUGAGUUAUUAGUGUAGUGUACUGGCACAGUAGCGUAUAUAUGGAUGUGUGUCACUUGUAAUGGAAACAAUUAUUUCUAAUAUUUUUGCUUGGCCAUACGUACGUUUGUGCGCACCUUCUAGUGAGCAUUCUUCCUCAAUGUUGAGUUUUGUUUGCACGAGCACUGUAGCUUUAUUACACAGAAUUUCUAUCGACUAUUGCGUCAACCCAUGUUCUGGCAUGGGCUCGAAUUUUAUGAGAUAUAAGUAUUAAGUAUUGUUCUGGUCAUUUCAAAUUAUAAACCAUUUUGGCUAUUAAAGAUAUAUUAUUUUUCAUUGUACCUAACAGUAUAUCUAAGUGUAUAGAAAAAACUAUAUACUUUCGAAACAUGUUAUAAUUUGAAAUGCGCGGAGUAGAUCUGAAUAAUAAUGAAAUAGUCAUAAAUUAUAUGUUUUUCUCUUUGUCUAAUCUCUAACAUAAUAGACAUGAUAGAUACUCUAUAGUCUAUAUCUAGUUAUCAUAAACUUAUUAGUUACUAUUUUUUCAACAAACUAAUCUAUAUAUUUUUAUCCAUAUUACUUCAAAUAUGCAAUUACUUUGAAACCUUACCAUUAAUCACGGUGGCUCUUGUUUUGUUAUGUAUCAAAUUUCUUAUUGACUGCAUCAGAUUUAUUUUUUCUCUCCUUAAGUUAAGUUGAACCCCUUAUGCUUAUUGUAUCUUUCAUUAACUCUUCUUUUUGUAUUUUUGAAAUAAGAAUUUUAGGACAUAGUUUACAUUCUUAGGAACUACAAUAGCAUAAGACAUCAUUUGAAACAUACACCAUAUUGCUUAAGAUAAGCCACAGAGCUUGAAGUGAGUUCACAAACAUGAUGGCUAAGGAAAUAUUAACCUCAAGAGAAUUUUUUAUUCUAUUGCUAAGGAAAUAACUUUUUUGUGAUUAAACAUAACAUAUUUAUUCCAUUGCUCAUGCAUGAUGGCAUUACGUGUAUAUUUACUUUAAUCAAAUCUUACUAUAUGUGUUUUAUGAGAAUUUCUAGGAUCUAUCUUUUGUUUUCCUAUCAAGUCUUGUGACGAUUAACAUGCAAGCUCUAGUAGAAACGUCUUGUUAGAAUUUAUAGUAUUUAUCUUUUUUCUAGUGUGAUAUGUAUUUAGUUGAAAACUAAACUUAAGAUAUAUAAACUCUUGAUACAACUCUUUUUUGACAUUGCAAAUCUACAUUUAUCUUUUAACUUUGAAUUAAAUUGUUGCAAUUUCUUCACAUGUUAAUUAGAAAUUCUGGUAUUCUUUAUCUUUUAUUCAAAAAUCAUUUUUUAUUAUAACGAAUAUAGGUCCAGUAGUAUUGUUUUCCACAUAUGCUAAAAUUUGGCUUGCAUUCUGACAGUAAACAUGUUCAAUUUGUUAUGUCAUACGAUUAUGUGUUGUAUUAUUGAUAUAUCAUAUUGUGCAUAAAUUUAAGUUGACAAUAUUGAUAUGACAUAAUGUUUCAGUAAAAACAUAUAAACUUGUUUAAAAUAAUAAUUAUUGAAUUUAUUAUCACGGAGUAUAGAUAUAAAGUGUUAUUGCUACAUCGUUUGCUAUGUGAACAUUUUUCAAUGUUUCAUAACUUUUAAAAUAAAUGUUAUCCAAAUUUAUACAUGUUUAUUUGAUAUACAUGGUGCAACAUUGCAUUUAGUUAUUUUAUUUCACGAUUAUUGAAUUAUGCAAUUUAGAAAUAUAUACAUGUACCAUACUUUUUGUUAAUAUUGAUAUUUUUAAUAGUAUAUAUUACUAUUUACAUGUCAAUUUUAGAUAUGUUUUGUUUAUCUUCAAUUCUGGCUAAGGUACAUACAAAAAUAAAUUUAAUACCUUGCAUUAUAUUUCACAAAGACAUAAAUGGAUAGGUUCAACACAAACAUAGAAUAUUAAUUUGCAUUAUUUUUCAUAAUGAUAAAGGUGGGAGAAUUUAUAAUUAGGAGGCAUUUUAAAUUAUGUUCCAUAAGGGUAUAUUGGGUAGUUUAGAUACAAAGUUAGAAUAUUAUUUUUUAUUAUCUUUCACAAUGACAAAAGCAAGGUAAUUUAGACACAAUUUUAGGGGUUUAUUUAAAUUAUGUUUCAUAAUCGCCAACGUGGGUAAUUUAGAUGAAAAAUCAGGGAGUGAUUUUGAAUUAUUUUUUAUGAUGACAUACAUGGGUAAUUUAUAUACAAAUAUAGAGGGUUAUUUUGAAUUAUCUUUUGUAAUGUCACAAUUGGGUAAAUUAAAUGCAAAAUUCGGGGUUACUUUAUUGUAUUUUCAUAACGGCAGUAGUGGGUAAUGUUUUAUAAACUAUAAUAGAUGCAAUGGCUAUUAUCACUGAUGAUAUUAGAGUUUAUCAAAUGAAAGGCUAGAUGUUUUUUAUUAUUGUCAUAAUUUGGAGGAUUUAUCUUUUUACUAGCAUUUUGUUAUGUCUCUGUUGGGGUCUCUAAUUAGAAUUUAUAGGAUUUAUCUUUUCUAGUUUCUGGUGAGAAUUAACGUGGUGUCUCUGUUGGGGCUUCUAAUUAGUAAUAACUAGGAGGAUUCCCCGCGCUUUGCUGCGGGUAUGAAAGAGGAAUAUAAAUAUGGUCUCACUAUAGUCUAUUAUGUCAUCUAUAUAUAGUUUUAGUAGUCAGUUUCAAAAGAGAAAGAGAGGAGAUCACGUGAGAAAAUAAUUGCUAGCAGUAUGCAUGCAUGGUCAUGUGUAGGUAGUUGCAUCCACUGCUGGAACCAUUUGUGAGUGGGCUAAAUUGCAUGCAGCAGCAGAAGAAGUGGAUGAUGAUGCAGCAGAAGAAGUGAAACUUUUUGGAUCUAAACAAUGCCUUAGUUGCAUAUGCAUAAAGUAUAAUAUAAAAAAGGAUGACCAAUAAUUGUGUGCUAGAGAUCCCAUUUCUUCUUGAUGUGCUUUGCAUUGGUAGCAUAUCACAACACUGCACGGUAAAUUAUUUUUUGUCUAAUUGGCCUGAAAUUCUUGCAGGCUGUCAGAGAUGUGAAUGAUGAGCCGCAGGUUGAAAAUUUAAAGGAUAUUGGCUUGAUACUUGUAAAAAAAUGUGAUGGUUUACCUCUUGGGAUCAAAGUAAUGGGAGGUCUCCUGAGUCGGAAAAGGAUAACACGAACCGACUGGCAAAAGGUCUUAGAUGAUUCUCUAUGGUCAAUAUCACAAAUGCCUGAAGAGCUAAAUUAUGCAGUAUAUCUUAGCUAUGAAGAUCUAGACCCUUGUUUGAAGCCUUGUUUUUUGCACUACUCCCUCCUCCCUAGGGGUACAGUUUUUUUUGUUCAUGAAAUUGUUGGAAUGUGGAUUGGUGAAGGAUAUGUUCAUGGAACAUUACGUGACGACCUAGAAGAAAUAGGAAGGGAAUAUUAUAAUGAGUUAAUACAGCGGAACCUUAUUGAGCCAGAUAUCAAGUUUAUUGAUCAAAGUGUUUGCAACAUGCAUGAUGUUGUCCGGUCAUUUGCUCAGAACAUGUUCCGAGACGAAGCACUCAUAACUCACAAUAGUAGAAUUGGGAUUGACAAGCUUAAAGCACAAAAGUUUAUGCGGUUAUCUCUCGAAAGCAAACAAUCGGAACAAUCUGAUUUGGAGUGGUGUUCUCUACAAACACAAAUGUCACUGAGAACAAUGCUUUUAUUUGGUAAUAUAAAGAUUCAACCAGGUGAUUCAUUUCGUUCUUUUUCAAGUCUCCGAACACUACACUUGGGCAGUGUAAAUAUUGUUGCAAUACCCGAAUCUUUGUAUCAGCUGAAACAUCUGAGGUAUCUGUCAAUAGAAAACAGUAAUAUAUCUAAGUUAUCAGAAGACAUUGGCAAGUUGAAAUUCUUGCAGUUCAUUAGCCUUUUUGGUUGUCCGAGUUUGACCAAGCUUCCCAGUAGCAUUGGACUGCUACAUGACUUGAGGUAUCUCUGUCUUCACAGAACAAAUAUAAGUGUUGUACCAAGGGAUUUUUGUGGUCUAACUUCUUUGAGGAAAUUAUAUGGAUUUCCAGCCCACAUGGACUGUGACCGUUGUAGUUUGGAGGAACUUGGGCCUCUCUCCCAGCUAACUGAACUUAAUAUCAGUUUCUUGGAGAAUGUAGCUUCUUCCUCAUCUGCUAUACAGGCCAAACUUGGUGGAAAGAAGCGCCUAAGGUAUCUCUCACUGGGUUGCACCAGUAGACUUGGAGAUGAUGGCCUGUUGGUAAAAAAGGAAGAAGGGAUCUCUGAGAAAGCCAAGAGACAAAUCGAGGAGGUCUUUGAUGAGCUCUGCCCUCCGCUUGGCUUAGAAAACCUUAACAUUGAAGGGUAUUUCGGUGAGCGGCUCCCAAGAUGGAUGAUGUCAGCAGCAGCAGUUAUGCCGCUUAGGAGCUUGAGGACUGUUACGAUGGACAACUUGGCCUGCUGCACAGAGCUUCCUAGUGGCUUGAGUCAGCUCCCCUGCUUGGAGCUUCUGCAGAUUGUUCGUGCCCCAGCCAUCAAGUGUGUUGGGCAUGAAUGGCUACAACCAAACAAUCAAUUAGGUUUUGCGUUUCCCAGACUGCAGGAGCUGCACUUUGAGGGAAUGGUCGAAUGGGAGGAAUGGGAGUGGGAGGAACAAGUGAAAGGCAUGCCUAUCUUGGAGUUGCUUAAACUGAAAAUGUGCAAGUUGAGGCGUGUGCCACCAGGCCUGGCCUUCCACGCAAGGGCUUUGAAGAAGUUAUGUAUAUAUGGUGUGAAGCAUCUAAGCUCUUUGGAGAACUUUGCUUCUGUGGUCCACCUGGACGUGUUUAGAAACACUCACCUGGAGAGGAUCAGUAAUCUACCAAAACUGCAGAAGCUCGUCAUCGUCAUGUGCCCAAAGCUGAAGGUAGUGGAUGGCAUGCCUGCACUCCAGAGACUCAAUCUGGAGGAUUAUGACAUGGAAACAGUCCCCAGGUAUCUGCAGGAUGUAAACCCAAGGCAUUUGCUGCUGCAUUGUUCCAUAUCGCUGCUCACAUGCAUAGCAGCAGGGAAAUCUGGUCCUCAGUGGGACAAGUUCAGCCACAUCCAGCAAGUCAAAGCUGCAAAUGAAGAAGGCUGUCCAAGGAAGUGGUAUGUGCUCUACACAAGGAACCCUUACCGCUUCGAGACAAAUAUCAGCCGCUCUGCUAUUGCCCAAGGUAAAUUAACACAGCCGCCUUCCAAUGUAAUUUAUUUUUUGGCACUCUGUUUUCCUCGGUUUCCUUCAAUCAGUUCAAUUCAUCUUCUGCAGCUCACGGACGCCGCAUAUGGCUUGCUUACUCGGAAACAUGUCCCAUUGAAGAUGAGUGGCCCACAGGAGGACACACGUAUGUAGAAAAACGUAUGCCCCUCUGCGUACGCUUCAGGUAAAAAAGUUGGCUACACGUUGAUUGCUUCCCUCUGUUUCAGUAAUUGUGCAUGCUUACACCUCCUUGACACGUGAUUAAUUGAACAUGGCAAGUUCUUUACCAUUUCAUUUCGUCCGUGCAACGUAUUUUUGCAACAUGUGCAGGUGCAACGCCUAUCGCCACUUGAAUGGCUGGUUUGAUGAAGCGUGCCUGCACUGCCAUGAAGCCGACAACAUCGCUUCCCCAUCUGAUCAGUGGACCCAAGGAGAAGUGCUUUCAGCCCGUAUAAAGACUGUUUGGGCAUGAGUGGAGGAAACGUCUUUAGUUUAGUGUGAGUAUGUGCAUCUUGGCUAUUCCUUGAUCUGCUUCUGUACCUUGUGUAUAAGAUCCUCAGCUUGUGUAUGUUCAUUUUACUGCUUAUUAGGGGCUUGUGUUCGAUCUUAUACUGUAACAUCUAGAAUACGUUUAUUGCGUUAGAAGUGUAAAGUGGUAAAAUAAUAAUAAUUGUAAUUUUAUCCAUCACUCAAAUGAAUGAUCAGAGAUUUUAGAUGCGUAGAGCUCGUCGAAUGCUUUCAGUUGCACUACUCAUAUGUAUUGUUUGGAAUUUGGAUCAUGGAGAUAUAAAUUUCAGAAGUUUUAAGAAAGAAAAAAUAAACAGGACCUUUUACUGUAGUGUGACGCGUGGUGGCCUUUUAUAUCCGCUCCAAGGCCUUUAGGUUCCAUCCAUAGCUUUUCAUAUUCAGGAUAAAAAAAAAGAGGAGAGGGGAGAAAAGAGAAAGGAGAAGAGAGAAGGGGAGGAUAGGGCCUAGGGUUUUGCCGCCGUCGUAGCCGCCGCCGCCGCUGUCGGUCAUCCGUGGUGGUCGUUCUUCCUUCCGUGGAAAAUACGGUUUGGUUCUACCUUGUAUCUUGGCUGUCCCAUUGAUCUACCAUGUCCCUUUUACUGUCCAUGAGGGCUUAGCCAUGUUUGGCGUAGAUCGGAAUAACAAGGCUUUUAUGGCGGCAAGGAUCGUGGCGAGUUGGAUCGGAGAUAAUGGAAAGGUGAAGAGGCGGAGAAGAAGGAGUAGACGCCAGGAGUUUCGGCGUCGUGCUCGCUGUGGUUCUCUAGGUGAGAAGCCAAAUAUUAAUCCCCUUCAUCUGAUCAAGUUUUGCGGAUUAAAUCGCUUAUUUGGGAUUGGGUUUAGUGGAGAAAUUCUUGAAGUCAUUUUCGUUCAUGUCCUGAAAUUCUCGUCAGACUGAGCAGUCACUGUUCAUCGUAAUGUUAUGGCAUUUUAGAGGCUUUAAUAAUUUUUGAGCCUGUGGACAAAGUUGUAGAGGACUUCAUUAUCUUUCUUUGGACGCCAAGAACUCUGUCAGAGCAGUUAUAUUUUGUGAGAUAUCGAGUUUUCAAUCUGACUGUUUUCCAGUGACGAAAAUCUGGACAGUUUUGGAUCUAAACAGUUUUUGACCCUGUUAAUGAAAUAAUUAGGUCUUUGAUUAUUAACAAAUGUUUUAGGAUUUUUGUUAAGCUUUCUAGAUUGGUAAAGUUUGUAACUUUUGAAUAAGUAUAUCACCAGUUAUGAAUUUUUGAAGUUUGAUGUUCUGUUUUGAAGGUCAGAAAUAUUCAGUUGUGUUCUAUGGUUAAUUAUACCAUCUUGCAGAUCUCUGAUGCAAAACCUUACAAUACAAAAGUUGUAUAUAACAGAGUUUUACAUGAUCUGAUAAAUUAUGGUAAUUUUUGGAUGAGUAUUCUGAAGUAUAUGAAAAAGAGAAGAGUCGGUGCUGCUGUCUUGAUCGGUAGCGCAAACGGUAGAGGCUUGAAUGUCGGGUUUGGGGCGCAUUAGUGCGUAUUUGUUCUUACUCUUGCUUGUAUGUUGGUGUAUGUACUGAGUAGUAUUUGUGAUCAGGUGGUAGCACUUCAGAACAUCGCUAGUGUUUUUGUUCUCCUUCGGUAAAGUGGCAAGUGAAUGUAGCGGUGGUUUGCUACCGUUUUGGCUUGUUAUUUUUAUCACCUACAGUUUAUUGUCUAUAAGAAUGUCAUCCCUCUCAUAUCUAAAAUUUAUGAUUUUGGUAUAUUUAGUCUUAGUUAAAUUGUGGUCUUAUUUAAGUAUUUAUGGUGAUGGUAUUAUUUUAUAUUGUUAUUUGUGGCUAGCCCACAAACUUGAAUUUGAAGUCGGAGUAUCAUUGGUGAUUUAUUAAUUUUAUUGCAACAUGCCAAGUGCAUUGCAUCAUUCAUUGGCAUUGGAAGUUAUGUCUUGACCUAUGGUCAUGACUGUACCGGUAUGCAUCAUGGGAUGCAGCUCCACACCUUGUUGGGUGUGCAGGCAGGAGACAUAUGCAUUGCAUUCAUAUGCAUUCAUGAGAAGUAUGUUAUUGAAGAGAUUUUAUCCACGUUAUUAUGAAGCUCUGUAUUAUUGGCUAUGUUCCAAAUUGGAAGACUGUUACUUUUAGUAUGAUAUUAUGUCAAUUGAGAACAUCAUAUUAAAUUGAUGUUAAUUCAAAUUGUGGUUUCAAUAGCUUGUCAAAACAAGUUCGCUUGCUGAGAUGUUUCGUCUCACCCUUGCUUUACUCAAUCCAGGUACUUGAUGCUUACUUGGAAGGAAAGGGACUUAGCUGCACGUCACACACUUAUUCAUUUAGAGACCUUGUGUUUUAAUAAAUAAUAAUUUGGUUUGCUUAUUGGUUUUGAAGGCGGUUGUUAAAGUGUGGGUGUUAAACUUAAUUCUUGUUGAAGUAACUUAUUUGCGUUAGGAUGUUCAUUAAUCCUAGUUUGGUAUUUCAGUAUUUUUUUUUAUAUUUUAUUCUUCCGCUUGCUAUAAAUACAAAGAAGAUACUGUCAAAUUGUUUAUGGUUGUGUGCAGCUGUUGUUUGUGUAGUCUAGUAGCAUCCCGGUGUAUUUGUGGUUUUCGGGGUGUUACAUAUACAGUAUGGACACAUGCCACAUUGCAGAAAUAAAUGUUCUAUCUGCUACUGAACAUGUACACAGAUUGCAAAAUUAUAUGUUCUGUAAUUUCACUAUUUUAUCAGGCUUACGAUAGUGAAUGGUAAACUGGUUGUGAUGUCAUCAAUGGACUCAUGGCACACUGCAAAUACAUAUGUGUUACAUUUCUUAUGAACUUUUAUGUUUUUUUAUUCUGGAUUGGAGCAUGCUCGCACUCCAAAUCCUCCAAUAGCCCUUUGCUCAGUGGAGACAAAUCUAUAACCAGGUGUGCCCGGAGGAUAUCCCAGCUGCCCGUAACCAAAUUCCUCCAAUUACUAGUUUCCUGGGCUCCCUGGAAAUACCAGAAUAUUGUGGUGUCCAACCACCUCCUGCUGUCAAUGAGAAAGCUGGCACCUUCGAUAUCACUCUUGCGAUCUUGGCGAGCAGGUCACUGACAUCUUGGUGGGCACCAUUAGUUUUUGUUUUUAUUUAAAUUUAAUGCUCUAUACAUGUACCGUAAGAUUCGAUAUGACGAAAAAUCUUAAAAAAAUACAAAUUUUUUUUGGAAGCCCUAGGCACCCCAAACCAGGUGAGGUCACACGGGCCUAUGCGAGAUCCGGCGUGCCAGCAAACUGGCUCCUAACAGAGUGUUCGAUGACAGAAUAAUUCCCAUCCCCGCCAAUACCAGUCCUAUCCAUGAAAAGGCGAAGAAGGCCCACGUCGGCAUGCUCUGUCGCUAGUCCCCACUAGCGCCUUCUGCGGGUCCCGUCAUCAGUCCUCGCUGAUCGGUCUCUCAUCUUCUCCACCGGGACCCCUCGCCGCCGUCUCCUCUGCCUCUCAUCUUCUGCAACAACGGGUAGGCAAAGAGGUGGCAUGUGUGGCUCGCCGGCCGUUGAGCCGAGGCAGAGCGCGCGUCUCGGCAUCAAAGACAAAGGAUGCACGGGAGUCAAUUGGAAGUCGAUGCAGGAGGAGCGUAGGAGAGAGAAGGCACUGUGCUAUAUGUUUUUUUUUUGGUUAUUUAUGGUGCAUUAAUUGUUGGUGAGCGUGAUGAGUCCUAUCCUACAAUGAGACUUAUGAGCAGUUUGGGAGUGUACCCAAACUAAUUUUGGGUUGGGUUGAAGUGAACCCAUCACGCCUUUGGGUAGAAGGACAGGGUUAUCCCAUAUUUUUUAUUUGUGCCUUGUUUAGUUCCAAAAUAUUUUGCAAAAUCGACACUGUAGCUUUUUCGUUUGUAUUUGACAAAUAAUAUCCAAUCAUAGACUAACUAGGCUCAAAAGAUUCGUUUCGUCAAUUUCGACCAAACUAUGCAAUUAGUUUUUAAUUUUAUCUAUAUAUAAUACUUCAUGCAUGUGUCUAAAGAUUCGAUGUGACGGGGAAUCUGAAAAAUUUUGCAAAAUUUUUUGGGAACUAAACAAGGCCUUGGUUGGAGAUAAACUGUGUCGGGGUUUGGAUUCAUGACACGUGGGUCCUGCAUGUCAGCCUUCUAUCAAUUCUUCUCCCAUGGGUCAUCCUUUGAUCGUCCCUGACACCGCCGCUCUCUGCUCCCACACUAUCGUGGCCCUCUACAACCAAUGCAUCUCGCUCGCGCAGCUCUCUUGGCUUGCCUGCGCAUGGGCACAAUUGCCACGUCUGGCCAUAGAAGAGACCGUGUUCCGACUAUCGGAUCCCUACGUCCAGCAAUGGUUGUUGUUUAUAUUCAAUUCGAGAGCACCCAAAUCAGGGGUUACAAUGAAAGAGAGUGAAUCGACACGAGAUCACUCGGUGCUAUCAAGCCUCGUUGGUGGCGAGGAAGAAGAAAUGUUCCCCUCUCUCACUGGAUUGCUAACCAUGCCUACAAAAAGGAUGGAUACAAAACUCCCCGAUUUCUAGGAAGCCCCUACAAUCGAUUUUCAAGCCGCCUCUACAAAUCAAUUUUCAGAAAUCAUGCGAUUUUAGGCUAAAAAAUAGCAACAAAAAGUGGCACCAUUGGUCCACCAACCCUUCCGCUCACACAUAUCUUCCUCUACCACUGCACCCUACACUCAAUGUGUCUAUAACCUAUUUUUGGCUUGCAGCAUAAGCCACAAUAUUUUUUGUACACUUUGUGGCCGACGGGAUUUGAACCCAUGACCUUCCCCUCACAUGUAUCCUCUUCUACCACUACACCUCACACUUAAUCUGUCUAUAAUCCAUUUUUGCACACUUCGUGGCCGAUGAAAUUCGAACCCAUGACAACCCUCCCCCCGCCUAGCACGUAUCCUCCUGUAUCACCUCACACUCAAUGUUUUUAUAAUCCAUUUUUGCUUCCCAAAAUAUUAUACCGAGCAUAAAUUGAUUGUCUGAGGCCCUAAACGAUUUCAUAUGAACAAGUUAUCAACUAUAAAGUUUCAUAACUUUUUUAUAUCUAUAACUUUCAUGUUGGUAAUUUUUCCAUCUGAGAUCGUUUCAAAAAUUUGAAUUUAAAAUUUACAAGAUUCAAACGUAAUUUUUCAUGAUAAGAUGAUAGCAAAUGAAAAAGUUAUCAACUAGAAAGUUUCAUAACUUUUCGAAAUCUACAACUUUCAAUUUUGCUAUUUGUCCAUCCGCGAUCGUUUAAAAAAUCAUAAUUUGAAAUUUUGAAAAUUUAAGCAUAGUUUUCUUGACAACAUGAUUUCGAUAACAAGUUAGUCAUCACCGAGUUCAUAUGAAGCCAACGGUCUGGCUUCCACGAUGGAUUUGUGGACCGAAGCAGACCGGCGUUAGACAUGUAGAUAUUAUGAGACUCGAAAUAGACGUCUUGCUAUUGAUGGAAAUAUCGCCUACCGCUGAAAGCACAACAACAUUAAAUCCCUAAAGUAUUUACUCCCAGGAGUUGAAAGAACUACUAAGGCCUUUGUAAACCACUAGGCUACAGACCUUUGUUUCUGUAAACAUGCAUGCUUACACCUCCUUGACACUAGAUCAAUCGGACAUGGCAAGUUGUUUAACAUUUCAUCCCGUGUAACGUAUUUUUAGUUUUUUUUGCACCAUGUGCUGGUACAACGCCCAUCGUCACUCGGGUUUGAUGAAGCCUGGUUUAGUUCUAAAAAAAUUUGUAAAAUGAACACUAUAGUACUUUCGUUUGAAUUUAACAAAUAUUUUCCAAUCAUGUGCAAUUAGUUAUUUCUUUUAUCUAUAUUUAAUAUUUUAUGCAUGUGCCGCAAGAUUCGAUGUGACAGAGAAUCUAAAAAAUUCUGCAAAAUAUUUUGAAAGUAAACAAGCCCCAAGCCUGCCUGCACCGCCUUGAAGGCGACGGCAUCGAUUCCCCAUCGGCCAUCAGUGGGCUGAAGCAGCAGUGUAUUCUGCGUGUACAUUAUGUAUUUUGGGCAGUUUCGUUGAUCUGCAUCUGUACCUUGUGCUCGUAGGAGCACCAAACAGAGCUUGCUCUGUUUUCAGACAUUGUUCACUCUGCUUUCUUGAUGCUCCUCAAGUUGCUGUACCCAAGCCAAACUAGCAUACGAAUUAGCGGUCUCAUCCCAGCCAUCAAUCAAAUGCCCAUCGCCCACUUAGCAAGUCUUCCUGUUUGCUACCAACGGGGGCUUCACAUCUACCGUCGGUAUUAUUAUUUCCUCAUUCAAUCUCCUCCGUUAAACAAGUCAAAAUUCCCUUAUAUAUAGCAGCAAAGAAAUGGACGAAUAUUGGUAUCUUUUAUGACGAGAGCUGAUUGUGACAUCCAUCCAUUAUUAUUAUAUUAGCCUGCCGUGGAGCAUGCAUGGACGGACGACGCCACAGUAGACUGAACUGCAACGUCUGUUGAACACAACGUCUGUCUGUUGCAUGAUGAUGCUGAUGAUGGCUCACCCUGUUGAACCGUGGAAGCAAGUUCGGACUGAACUGCAGCAGCAAUUUGCAAGCCCGUUUUGAUCGCGUGUGUUGGCUCAUGCCCAGGCUCAUGCAUGUAUGAGUAUGUUGAACCUCUCGAUGGAUGGUUUUCGGCUUCCCUGUGUCUCGCUCGCACUGCUACCAUCAUCUCGUGACUCAAACAUCAUGUAUGCCUGGCCUUGUUUAGUUCCUAAAAAAUUUUGCAAAAUUUUUCAGUCCGUCACAUCAAAUCUUUAGACGCAUACAUGAAGUAUUAAAUAUAGAUGAAAAUAAAAACUAAUUGCACAGUUUGGUCGAAAUUGAUGAGAUGAAUCUUUUAAGACUAGGUAGUACAUAAUUAGAUAAUAUUUGUCAAAUACAAACGAAAGUGUUGCUAUUCCAAUUUUGUAAAAAAAAUUUGGAACUAAACAAGUCCAACUUUCAUCUACGUUCCAGUGCUAGAUGGCUCACCACACUAACUUGGCAUAAGUUGGCCAUACAUCAUUACAUUAUUUAAUUUACAGAGGAUAGACAUUGACCAAGGCUAGAGCCUCGCAUAGUCAGGGGUCACCUUCAUCCAACAAACACGCUGAGUCAGAUUUGUCGCGAUCAUUUUGGAAUAUAUAAUCCCAAAGCAUCUGAUUCCACUACUAAAGCUGAUGAUUCUUAUAAUAUAUUUUUUAUUAAAAAAUAAAAAAACGCAGGAAGUGGCCUACAUUGAAUGCACAAAAUAUUGUUUCCACACAGUACAAAGAUAGAUUGCACAAUCGUCUUUGUGCCUGCUUGGAUUCCACCACUAAUCGAACGAAGCUGCCUGGCACUUUCCUUCUCACCUUGCACUGUCACCACACGACCCACUCCAACCACCACCUUCUUCCCUGAAUCAUCACCAUUUUCCUUCCCAGCUUCAAGCAGCCAAACGGAAGACACCAACCAGCUACUGCGAUUCUUGCGGACAACUUGACUCCAUGCAUGUUGCUGCUCAACCUUUCAUCACUAACGGGCAUGCCACAAUCCAGCAGUAGCAUCUGGUUGGUCAGGUCGGCGAUGUCCAUGCUGAUUCCUGCCUAGCCAUUGACCAAUAAUACAUCCUGUUGUUGCAACGCCUCUCCGCUUCCGGCCAUUGCUCAGCUCAUCGGACUCAGGUUUGUUUCCUUAACCGUUACGUUUCUGCAGUGGCUUAUGCUUAGCAAGAUCUGCCCAUAUAGCUACUGCCCCCAGUGAUGUAGUUGUUAUGAUUCGGCACAUAAAGUUGUCACUCUCAUAUAGUUAUAUCAAUGAACGAGAGGGGGAGUGAAUGAGAGCCGUAAAUUUUGUCUCAAAAUAUUUUCGGCCACUGUCUCAAAUCACCGCCCAACACAAGCGAGAAUCCCGAAACUAAAUUACUCAAGCGAACCGGUGACAAGAGCACUUAGAUAAAAUUUUUGAAACAAUAGAAAGUUAACACAACAGACGAAACACGAAUUAGAGCUCAAAUGAUUAAACUACGCAUUUUUUAGAUAAAGGAUAGUUUAUAUCCAAACUUCAUCUACCAUAGGGUAGAAUCAGACCAAUUAUUACAAAGUUCGGUCAGACGACCAGUACACUUGAGAUAACUCAAUUUAUGGAAACAAAACGGAAAGAAAGCGUUUGGCUAUGAAAGACCAAGAAACCUAGUUGACAGCCAUCCAUUAGAUCUAAAGAAAUGCAGAGUUGAAGUUUCCAAAAACUGUCCAGCAAGCAGAAGCUGGUCUUUUAGUACCUCACACCGCUACAGUCUUACCCACUAACGAAGCCAAUGGGUUCCUCUAAUACCUGCAAAAAAGUUUUCGGUCUGCAUUUGUCAAAAAACCACUUCAUUUCUUGUUAUCCAAAUUGUCCAAACUAGGGUCAUAGCUGCCAUUAAUAAUAAGGAAUUAAAAGUGUUACUAGUCCUCUUAAGACCAAUUAACAAAAAACAAUCAUUUAUACUAAGAGGAGGUGCAAUUCCAAACAACAGGCGUACCACACGCCACAAGAAUUAGUAUAAAAACAUUCGAAUAAGAGGUGGUGAAUAGUUUUAGGAGAAUCACAGAACACAUAUCUUGUGUCUCUAGCCUAGUUACGUUGGCAAGAUUAUCUUUGGUUAAAACAACACCUCUUUUUAAAUAUAAAAAAAAGACUUUUAUACAAAAGGGAGCCUCGCCUAGUCAAGAUAUAGGGGUCACCUUCAUCCAACAAACAUGCCAAGUCAGAUUUGUCGUGAUCAUUUUGGAAUAAUCCCAAGCAUCUGAUUUCACCACCAAAGGUGAUGAUUCUAUUAAUAUAUUACUUUAUUAAACAAUAAAAAACAGAAAGUGGCUUAAAUGAAAUGAACAAUACUAGGACCUUGUUUAAUUCACAAAAAUUUUUGGAUUUGACUAUUAUAGCAUUUUCGUUUUAUUCAGCAAUUAGUGUUCAAUCAUGGACUAAUUAGACUUAAAAGAUUUAUCUCACAAUUUAUAGAUAAAUUAUACAAUUAGUUAUUUUUUAUCUAUAUUUAAUGUUUUGUAUAUGCGUACAAAGAUUUUUUAUCAAGUGGGCGAUCAAAUUGUUAACAUCCAUCCGUCCCGCCCAACACUAACAUCAGCUUUUGCAGUGCACCAACCGCUAGCCUUUUCGUUUAUUACUAAAUCCAAGUUAUAGGUGCGGAGAGUGUUGCCGAUCGAACUUCCAUGUCAUGGGAUAAAUUGGGGCUCAGUAAUCUAAAAGAAAGUGAGUUGUUUAAUUUCCAACGUAUAGAGGCUCCAAAGAGAAAUUCAUACCAAUACACUUGUGAUUGGAAGAAAAUGAAUUGCCAUUGCCAAUAUACUUGAUUAAUUUGUACUUAAUUAUGUAAUUCGAAAUAAAAUAGCAUGCAUUACAAGACGCAAGAGCCGGUCAGUGGCCGCUGCCAAAUUGUAUUUUGGUUUCUUUAUGAGCGAGUCUUUGCUUGUCGUCUCGUGCAACGAGAACGCUUCCUGCGGUGCCUCCACUCUAGCAUCCAACAAGGCUCCGGUGUGGAAUUUAUAAACUAGGACACAGCAAGCAAGUCGAUCGAAGUUGCCAUGCACUUUCCUUCCCACCUUGCACUGUCACCAAAAGACCUACUCCAACCACCAUCUUCUUCCCUGAAUCAACACUAUUUUCCUUCCCCAGCUCAAGCAGCCAAACAGAAGACACCAACCAGCUACUGCGAUUCUCGCCGGUAAUUUCUUUCCUGCCCACCUUGCAGUGUUAUUCCUACUCUAGCAUCCAUCUCACUGCUCCUCCUUUCUUCAAUCACUGGCGAGCCACAAUCCAGCAGUAGUAUAAGGUGGGUCAGGUCGAAGAUGUCCAUACUGAUACCUGUCUAACCAUAAACCAAGAUUGAGAUCCUAGUCCACGACCAAGAAAGAACAAAGUGGCACUGCCUCACCAAUUCUGGCCAUUGCACAGCUCGUCAACUUGAGGUUUGUUUCCUUAACCGUUACGUUUCUGCAGCUAUAUAGUUGUGCACAUAUAGUGCCCACUGUGUUGUAAUUGUUAUAUGUCUCUGCAGCUGCUUAUGAGUAUCUAGAUCUGUGCAUAUAUAGUUGCCACUGUCAUGUACUUGUAUCAAUAAUGAACGAGAAGUCAGUACUAGUGCCGCGAUGGCUGCAUGUGUAGAUGGAAGAUGAUUGAAAAUAUUUGUUGUAUAAAAUUGAAAUGCAAUGUUGAAAUUAACAUAUGUUCUAAUUUCGUUACAGCAAAAACGGAAGUUCUCAAUCAUGGCCGGUGUCCUAGAUGCUUUGGCAUCCUACAUCCAAAACAUGCUUCUGCAGAUGGCGGCAGAAGAGGUGCAUAUGUUGCUUGGGGUGUCCGGUGAGAUUGACAACAUGGACAUCAAGCUUCGGGAUCUAAAGAACAUCCUUGCUGAUGCUGAUAGGAGGAACAUCACUGACAAAAGUGUCCUAGCAUGGGGGAUAGAGCUAAGGAAUGCUAUGUAUGNNNNNNNNNNNNNNNNNNNNNNNNNNNNNNNNNNNNNNNNNNNNNNNNNNNNNNNNNNNNNNNNNNNNNNNNNNNNNNNNNNNNNNNNNNNNNNNNNNNNACGGAAAGAAAGCGUUUGGCUAUGAAAGACCAAGAAACCUAGUUGACAGCCAUCCAUUAGAUCUAAAGAAAUGCAGAGUUGAAGUUUCCAAAAACUGUCCAGCAAGCAGAAGCUGGUCUUUUAGUACCUCACACCGCUACAGUCUUACCCACUAACGAAGCCAAUGGGUUCCUCUAAUACCUGCAAAAAAGUUUUCGGUCUGCAUUUGUCAAAAAACCACUUCAUUUCUUGUUAUCCAAAUUGUCCAAACUAGGGUCAUAGCUGCCAUUAAUAAUAAGGAAUUAAAAGUGUUACUAGUCCUCUUAAGACCAAUUAACAAAAAACAAUCAUUUAUACUAAGAGGAGGUGCAAUUCCAAACAACAGGCGUACCACACGCCACAAGAAUUAGUAUAAAAACAUUCGAAUAAGAGGUGGUGAAUAGUUUUAGGAGAAUCACAGAACACAUAUCUUGUGUCUCUAGCCUAGUUACGUUGGCAAGAUUAUCUUUGGUUAAAACAACACCUCUUUUUAAAUAUAAAAAAAAGACUUUUAUACAAAAGGGAGCCUCGCCUAGUCAAGAUAUAGGGGUCACCUUCAUCCAACAAACAUGCCAAGUCAGAUUUGUCGUGAUCAUUUUGGAAUAAUCCCAAGCAUCUGAUUUCACCACCAAAGGUGAUGAUUCUAUUAAUAUAUUACUUUAUUAAACAAUAAAAAACAGAAAGUGGCUUAAAUGAAAUGAACAAUACUAGGACCUUGUUUAAUUCACAAAAAUUUUUGGAUUUGACUAUUAUAGCAUUUUCGUUUUAUUCAGCAAUUAGUGUUCAAUCAUGGACUAAUUAGACUUAAAAGAUUUAUCUCACAAUUUAUAGAUAAAUUAUACAAUUAGUUAUUUUUUAUCUAUAUUUAAUGUUUUGUAUAUGCGUACAAAGAUUUUUUAUCAAGUGGGCGAUCAAAUUGUUAACAUCCAUCCGUCCCGCCCAACACUAACAUCAGCUUUUGCAGUGCACCAACCGCUAGCCUUUUCGUUUAUUACUAAAUCCAAGUUAUAGGUGCGGAGAGUGUUGCCGAUCGAACUUCCAUGUCAUGGGAUAAAUUGGGGCUCAGUAAUCUAAAAGAAAGUGAGUUGUUUAAUUUCCAACGUAUAGAGGCUCCAAAGAGAAAUUCAUACCAAUACACUUGUGAUUGGAAGAAAAUGAAUUGCCAUUGCCAAUAUACUUGAUUAAUUUGUACUUAAUUAUGUAAUUCGAAAUAAAAUAGCAUGCAUUACAAGACGCAAGAGCCGGUCAGUAGCCGCUGCCAAAUUGUAUUUUGGUUUCUUUAUGAGCGAGUCUUUGCUUGUCGUCUCGUGCAACGAGAACGCUUCCUGCGGUGCCUCCACUCUAGCAUCCAACAAGGCUCCGGUGUGGAAUUUAUAAACUAGGACACAGCAAGCAAGUCGAUCGAAGUUGCCAUGCACUUUCCUUCCCACCUUGCACUGUCACCAAAAGACCUACUCCAACCACCAUCUUCUUCCCUGAAUCAACACUAUUUUCCUUCCCCAGCUCAAGCAGCCAAACAGAAGACACCAACCAGCUACUGCGAUUCUCGCCGGUAAUUUCUUUCCUGCCCACCUUGCAGUGUUAUUCCUACUCUAGCAUCCAUCUCACUGCUCCUCCUUUCUUCAAUCACUGGCGAGCCACAAUCCAGCAGUAGUAUAAGGUGGGUCAGGUCGAAGAUGUCCAUACUGAUACCUGUCUAACCAUAAACCAAGAUUGAGAUCCUAGUCCACGACCAAGAAAGAACAAAGUGGCACUGCCUCACCAAUUCUGGCCAUUGCACAGCUCGUCAACUUGAGGUUUGUUUCCUUAACCGUUACGUUUCUGCAGCUAUAUAGUUGUGCACAUAUAGUGCCCACUGUGUUGUAAUUGUUAUAUGUCUCUGCAGCUGCUUAUGAGUAUCUAGAUCUGUGCAUAUAUAGUUGCCACUGUCAUGUACUUGUAUCAAUAAUGAACGAGAAGUCAGUACUAGUGCCGCGAUGGCUGCAUGUGUAGAUGGAAGAUGAUUGAAAAUAUUUGUUGUAUAAAAUUGAAAUGCAAUGUUGAAAUUAACAUAUGUUCUAAUUUCGUUACAGCAAAAACGGAAGUUCUCAAUCAUGGCCGGUGUCCUAGAUGCUUUGGCAUCCUACAUCCAAAACAUGCUUCUGCAGAUGGCGGCAGAAGAGGUGCAUAUGUUGCUUGGGGUGUCCGGUGAGAUUGACAACAUGGACAUCAAGCUUCGGGAUCUAAAGAACAUCCUUGCUGAUGCUGAUAGGAGGAACAUCACUGACAAAAGUGUCCUAGCAUGGGGGAUAGAGCUAAGGAAUGCUAUGUAUGAUGCCACUGAUAUCCUCGACCUUUGCAAGCUCAAGGCUAUGGAGCAAGGCCAAAGGCAUGAUGCCGGAUGCUUCAACCCGUUGCUCUUCUGCAUACGGAAUCCCCUACAUGCCCACGAUAUUGGAAGCCGCAUCAAGAACCUUAACAAGAGGCUAGACGACAUCAAGGCACGUGGUGCAUCAUUCAACUUCCUGAACCUUAGUACUUAUGAGGAUCGUGGAAGAAAUGUGAUAUCAUAUGGUUCUAGUACCCGUGAGACAUCGGGGGGCCUUGUUGAGUCUGGUUUGGUUGGUGAGAAGAUUGAAGAGGACACAAUAAAUCUUGUGGAGAUGCUAACAAAGAAGUAUCCUACCGACGACAACAAAUCCAACAAAAUAAUGGUUUUCUCUAUUGUGGGAGCUGGUGGGAUUGGUAAAACCACCCUUGCUCAAAAGAUCUUCAACAAUGAAGUCAUAAAGGAUGAGUUCAAAAAGAAAAUAUGGUUGAGUGUCAACCAAGGCUUUGAUGAUACUGAAAUGUUAAGAAGAGUUAUUAUCGAAGCUCGUGGAAACCACCAUGAUUGUGGAAAUGCAAAGGUGUCACUAGAACACACUCUAAUAGAAGCUUUGAAGGGACAAAAAACCUUAUUAAUAAUGGAUGAUGUCUGGGACAGCCGUAUAUGGGAAGGCGUGCUUAGAACUCCCUUUGUUAAUGCCAUGCUAGCUGAAGGUAGCCGUGUGCUGGUCACCACAAGGCAUGACACAGUGGCACGUCAGAUGAAGGCGGAGGAGCCCUACUAUCGUAUUGACAGACUUGGGCUUGAAGAUGCAUGGAUGCUGCUCAAGAAGCAGGUACAAGUUAAUCCAUACAUUUAUUACUUUUCAUUAAUCAUGCAUUAUGUUUUCUAGCUGCAUCACUUUAGUUUUGCUUCUAUCUUAGUAGUGGGAACUAGAUUCCCUGUCUUGGCAGCAACUUCUAUUUUUCUUCUUUGUUUCAACCAUGUAGUUCUGUGGUGGUGACCUUCGAAAUAUAAGAUAAAGAAACAAAAUGACAUACUUCCUUGCGUUAGCAUUGUAUUAUCUUGCAUAUGCAGUCAUGUAGACUCCACAUAGUGCAGGUAUUCACUUUUUUUGUUAAAGCAAUUCAAAAUUGGACAUUGUAUUACACUCCCUCCUUUUUUUAAAAAGAACUUGAGAUCUGUAGGUUCGAUUGGAUCUGUAAUUGGCUGUAAUGUAGGCAAUAUGAAAUGGCGAAUUAGUAACUAAUUUAAAUUCACAAACUAAGGAAACCAUAAUAAGUAUGUUUAUCACUAUUCUUUUUAGAGUAAAAUAAAAAAAAGGUCUUUGAAGUUAUUCUGUAUGAUGUUGUCCGAUCCUCAAACUCUCAAAAUGCUUGCAUUGUGAGGUUAGAGAAAUUGUCCUUGUAUGGAAUGUAAGUCCCAAGCCCUUAUAAUGGUACUUUCAUCCACAGGACUUGUCACGUGUUGUCAUCUAGUCUAGUUCUUAAUGAGCCCUAACACACUAUACACCCUUAUGUGGCAUGUCACAAUUGAUCCAUUUGUGGUUCAGUAUUGAUGAGUAGUCUAACGCGAGGUUAUGUAUAUCACACAUAUUGGGCUGUUGCACUAUAUCCGAGCGAAGAGAGAGAGAGGGGGAACUCAGGAUGGUGGUCCAAAGGCCAACAUAUAUGUGUGGUGCCCAUAUAUAGAAUCGACUAGUACAGAUAUUAUGAGACAUAUAGGUAGCAUUUGGUUGGGAGAUAAGGUGGGAUGGAAGAAUGAUCUUGUCUCCGGUUUGAGGGAUGCAGUGACCCUAUUUUCUUUUUGGUUGGAAAGCGAUGGGACCAAUUUGUUUUCUAUUUGGUCUUAGAUAUAAUAACUCAAAUCUUGUGGGUCCCAUUUGGCAGUUUUAAUUCUCUUUUUCUUCCUCCUCUCCUUACCUUGUUCACGAACUGUGGCCACCCAAAGGACUCGCAAGUGCGACGCCCUCUGCCUCCUCCCGUUGAGUCGGCCAUGGCUUAUGCCACCUGCUUCAUGUGUAGCCACCCAAAGGACUCGCGCACGGUGGCUCCUAAAAGGUUGCACGACGGCAGCCUCUGAGCUCACGCGUGGAGGCUCCUCUUAUCUCGGCACAGUGGUGGCCCCCCAAGGUCAUGCAAGGCGGCAAUCUCCCGAGCUCGCGCGAUGGUGGCCCCCUGUGCUCGUCUUCAUUGACCUCCCCUAUGUGCACCUCCUCUUGUCUUCUUCCUCACCAGUGAGUGGGCUUGUCCCACCUCAGGCGACCCCUUGUUCGUCAAAUUUCUGCACAAGCACGCAUGUGAGCAACUGUCGUGGUCGUGUAGCCACCAUGCUUGCGCAGCCAAAUAGAAUUGGGAUACUUAAAUGUUUAAGUAUCUAAAUGUAUAGUUUUACAUUUAGUGAUCUGAUAGAAGAUGCAGUAGUUUAGAGACUAUGGGUGCAAUUUGCUCUAUGACAAUGGUUGGAAUCGCCUCCCAUCGCCUCCGCUAAAAACUUUUUUCCUUUUUUUUUUAAUUUGUGGAAGGGUAAUAACAUCAUUGUACAAGGUUCUCUUAAACCCCAACCCCUAUUAUCGGCAGCGACGGCUCCCUGUAACACGCAUUGGUGGACGCAGACAGGUGGAACUCAUAGAAGAUUUAAAAAAACUUAAGAAGAAGAUUUUUAUCUAACUAGCUAUAGUACUUGAAUCAAACAUCCUAUCUAUCUUACUCAAAAUAUUACUUUUACAAUUAUGAAUUUACCCUUUUACCCUUCAUUAAAAAAGAAAUACAAAAGGAGAAAUUACCGCUCCUCUAUUUAGGGUCUUAAUUCCUAUAAUUUUGGAGGCGAUGGGAGGCAAUGUGACAUCUAUGGCCCACCGACCAUAGACACACCUAUUACCUCCCAUCACCUUGCUUCUAUCGCUUUGCUUCUCAUCGCCUCUCCAACCAUUGUAAAAAUAUUAAUUAUAGUAUUACUGGACGUACAUGUAUGUGGAGAAGGCAUUGCUUAUGAAUUGUGUACAACAGUAUUUAAAAUUGAUUUUUCAACGUGAAGCUGGUGGAAGCGUGAUAUAUAGCAAAGAAUCCACAUACCAACGCUAAACUCAUGGUGGCAACUAAUGUACAUGCUUUGUAAACUGCAAUUGCCCACUGGGUGAAAUCUAAGGAAGAGUGGGCCAAGAAACUAAGAUUAGACCUAGUACCACUUAGAAUAUUAAUUAUUUUAUAACAAAAUUUGAAACUAAACCAACCGCAUUUGUUGGGAGUAGACUAUACAGCUUUCAACCGUUUAUUUGUAUUGGAAUGCACGACGAUAUUACAUGCUGAGUUAUUAGUGUAGUUACUGGCACAGUAGCGUAUAUAUGGAUGUGUGUCACUUUGUAAUGGAAACAAUUAUUUCUAAUAUUUUUGCUUGGCCAUACGUACGUUCGUGCGCACCUUGUAGUGAGCAUUCUUCCUCAAUGUUGAGUUUUGUUUGCACGAGCACUGUAGCUUUAUUACACAGAAUUUCUAUCGACUAGUGCAUCAACCCAUGUUCUGGCAUGGGCUUGAAUUUUAUGAGAUAUAAGUAUUAAGUAUUGUUCUGGUCAUUUCAAAUUAUAAACCAUUUUGGCUAUUAAAGAUAUAUUAUUUUUCAUUGUACCUGACAGUAUAUCUAAGUGUAUAGAAAAAACUAUAUACUUUCGAAACAUGUUAUAAUUUGAAAUGCGCGGAGUAGAUCUGAAUAAUAAUGAAAUAGUCAUAAAUUAUAUGUUUUUCUCUUUGUCUAAUCUCUAACAUAAUAGACAUGAUAGAUACUCUAUAGUCUAUAUCUAUAGUUAUCAUAAACUUAUUAGUUACUAUUUUUUCAACAAACUAAUCUAUAUAUUUUUAUCCAUAUUACUUCAAAUAUGCAAUUACUUUGAAACCUUACCAUUAAUCACGGUGGCUCUUGUUUUGUUAUGUAUCAAAUUUCUUAUUGACUGCAACAGAUUUAUUUUUUCUCUCCUUAAGUUAAGUUGAACCCCUUAUGCUUAUUGUAUCUUUCAUUAACUCUUCUUUUUGUAUUUUUGAAAUAAGAAUUUUAGGACAUAGUUUACAUUCUUAGCAUCGAACUACAAUAGCAUAAGACAUCAUAAAUUAUAUGUUUUUCUCUUUGUCUAAUAUCUAACAUAAUAGACAUGAUAGAUACUCUAUAGUCUAUAUCUAGUUAUCAUAAACAUAUUAGUUACUAGUUUUUCAACAAACUAAUCUAUAUAUUUUUAUCCAUAUUACUUUAAAUAUGCAAUUACUUUGAAACCUUGCCAUUAAUCACAGUGGCUCUUGUUUUGUUGUGUAUCAAAUUUCUUAUUGACUGCGACAGAUUUAUUUUUUCUCUCCUUAAGUUAAGUUGAACCCCUUAUGCUUAUUGUAUCUUUCAUUAACUCUUCUUUUUGUAUUUUUGAAAUAAGAAUUUUCGGACAUAGUUUACAUUCUUAGGAACUACAAUAGCAUAAGACAUCAUUUGAAACAUACACCGUAUUGCUUAAGAUAAGCCACAGAGCUUGAAGUGAGAUCACAAACAUGAUGGCUAAGGAAAUAUUAACCUCAAGAGAAUUUUUUAUUCUAGUGCUAAGGAAAUAACUUUUUUGUGAUUAAACAUAACAUAUUUAUUCUAUUGCUCAUGCAUGAUGGCAUUACGUGUAUAUUUACUUUAAUCAAAUCUUACUAUAUGUGUUUUAUGAGAAUUUCUAGGAUCUAUCUUUUGUUUUCCUAUCAAGUCUUGUGACGAUUAACAUGGAAGCUCUAGUAGAAACGUCUUGUUAGAAUUUAUAGUAUUUAUCUUUUUUUAUAGUGUGAUAUGUAUUUAGUUGAAAACUAAACUUAAGAUAUAUAAACUCUUGAUACAACUCUUUUUUGACAUUGCAAAUCUACAUUUAUCUUUUAACUUUGAAUUAAAUUGUUGCAAUUUCUUCACAUGUUAAUUAGAAAUUCUGGUAUUCUUUAUCUUUUAUUCAAAAAUCAUUUUUUAUUAUAAAGAGUAUAGGUCCAGUAGUAUUGUUUUCCACAUAUGCUAAAAUUUGGCUUGCAUUCUGACACUAAACAUGUUCAAUUUGUUAUGUCAUACGAUUAUAUGUGUUGUAUUAUUUAUAUAUCAUAGAGUGCAUAAAUUUAAGUUGACAAUAUUGAUAUGACAUAAUGUUUCAGUAAAAACAUAUAAACUUGUUUAAAAUAAUAAUUAUUGAAUUUAUUAUCACGGAGUAUAGAUAUAAAGUGUUAUUGUUACAUCGUUUGCUAUGUGAACAUUUUUCAAUGUUUCAUAACUUCUAAAAUAAAUGUUAUCCAAAUUUAUACAUGUUUAUUUGAUAUACAUGGUGCAACAUUGCAUUUAGUUAUUUUAUUUAACGAUUAUUGAAUUAUGCAAUUUGGAAAUAUAUACAUGUACCAUACUUAUUGUUAAUAUUGAUAUUUUUAAUAGUAUAUAUUACUAUUUACAUGUCAAUUUUAGAUAUGUUUUGUUUAUCUUCAAUUCUGGCUAAGGAACAUACAAAAAUAAAGUUAAUACCUUGCAUUAUAUUUCACAAAGACAUAAAUGGAUAGGUUCAACACGAACAUAGAAUAUUAAUUUGCAUUAUUUUUCAUAAUGAUAAAGGUGGAGAAUUUAUAAUUAGGAGGCAUUUUAAAUUAUGUUCCAUAAGGGUAUAUUGGGUAGUUUAGAUACAAAGUUAGAAUAUUAUUUUUUAUUAUCUUUCACAAUGACAAAAGCAAGGUAAUUUAGACACAAUUUUAGGGGUUUAUUUAAAUUAUGUUUCAUAAUCGCCAACGUGGGUAAUUUAGAUGAAAAAUCAGGGAGUGAUUUUGAAUUAUUUUUUAUGAUGACAUACAUGGGUAAUUUAUAUACAAAUAUAGAGGGUUAUUUUGAAUUAUCUUUUGUAAUGCCACAAUUGGGUAAAUUAAAUGCAAAAUUAGGGGUUACUUUAUUGUAUUUUCAUAACGGCAGUAGUGGGUAAUGUUUUAUAAACUAUAAUAGAUGCAAUGGCUAUUAUCACUGAUGAUAUUAGAGUUUAUCAAAUGAAAGGCUAGAUGUUUUUUAUUAUUGUCAUAAUUUGGAGGAUUUAUCUUUCUACUAGCAUUUUGUUAUGUCUCUGUUCGGGUCUCUAAUUAGAAUUUAUAGGAUUUAUCUUUUCUAGUGUCUGGUGAGAAUUAACGAGUGUCUCUGUUGGGGCUUCUAAUUAGUAAUAACUAGGAGGAUUCCCCGCGCUUUGCUGCGGGUAUGAAAGAGAAAUAUAAAUAUGGUCUUACUGUAGUCUAUUAUGUCAUCUAUAUAUAGUUUUAGUAGUCAGUUUCAAAAGAGGAAGAGAGGAGAUCACGUGAGAAAAUAAUUGUAUGCAUGCAUGGUCAUGUGUAGGUAGCUGUAUCCACUAUUGGAACCAUUUGUGAGUGGGCUAAUUGCAUGAAGCAGCAGAAGAAGUGGAUGAUGAUGCGGCGCAAGAAAGUGCAAAAGAAUUAGCUUAGUGGAGUUUGUCUUUAUAGGAUAUAUAUAGAUAAGAUUGGUCACAGCAGGUAGUGAAUCAUUCAGGCGGGUUCAGAGUUUAUUAGCUAAGAAUAUGUCGUGCAAAAUAAUAGUGCUGAUUUUGCUUCAGAUUAGGAAUCUCCGUACUUCCAUAGGUCAUAAGAGCAAAGAAGGGGAAAUUCGUCAUGAACAUAGCUAUACUUUCUUACUUUUAUAUCCCAAGCAACACUCGUGCUUUUUUCUUUCUUUUUACUUAGGCCUUAUUUAGUUCACUCCAAAAAUCAUAAACUUUUUAAGAUUUCCCGUCACAUCGAAUCUUGCGGCACAUGCAUAGAGCAUUAAAUAUAGAUGGAAACAAAAACUAAUUGCACAAUUUGCCUAUAAAUUGCGAGACGAAUCUUUUAAUCUUAGUUACUUCAUGAUUGGACAACGUUUGUCAAAUAAAAACGAAAGUGCUACAGUAUCAAAAUCCAAAAACUUUUUGGAUCUAAACAAUGCCUUAGUUGCAUAUGCAUAAAGUAUAAUAUAAAAAAGGAUGACCAAUAAUUGUGUGCUAGAGAUCCCAUUUCUUCUUGAUGUGCUUUGCAUUGGUAGCAUAUCACAACACUGCACGGUAAAUUAUUUUUUGUCUAAUUGGCCUGAAAUUCUCGCAGGCUGUCAGAGAUGUGAAUGAUGAGCCGCAGGUUGAAAAUUUAAAGGAUAUUGGCUUGAUACUUGUAAAAAAAUGUGAUGGUUUACCUCUUGGGAUCAAAGUAAUGGGAGGUCUCCUGAGUCGGAAAAGGAUAACACGAACCAACUGGCAAAAGGUCUUAGAUGAUUCUCUAUGGUCAAUAUCACAAAUGCCUGAAGAGCUAAAUUAUGCAGUAUAUCUUAGCUAUGAAGAUCUGGACCCUUGUUUGAAGCCUUGCUUUUUGCACUACUCCCUCCUUCCUAAGGGCACACUGUUUUCUGUUGAUGACAUUGUUGGCAUGUGGAUUAGUGAAGGAUUUGUUUAUGGAACAUUACAUGAUGACCUAGAAGGAAUAGGAAGGGAAUACUAUGAUGAGUUAAUACAGCGAAACCUUAUUGAGCCAGAUACGAAGUAUGUUGAUCAAGAAGCUUGCAACAUGCAUGAUGUGGUCCGGUCAUUUGCUCAUAACUUGUGGGGAGAUGAAGCAAUCAUAGCUCACAAUAGUACAAUUGGUAUUGACAAACUUAAAUCACAGAAAUUUUUUCGAUUAUCUCUGGAAAGCAAAGGACCAGAACAACAUGAUUUGGAUUGGUGUUCUCUACAAAUACAAACAUCACUGAGAACACUAAUUUUAGUGGGUAAUAUAAAGAUUAAGCCAGGUGAUUCAUUUGUUUCUCUUUCAAGUCUCCGAACACUACAUUUGGACAGUGUAAAUAUUGAUUCAAUAGCAGAAUCUUUGUAUCAGCUGAAACAUUUGAGGUAUUUGGCAAUAGAAAACAGUAAUACAUCAAAGUUACCAGAGGACAUAGGCAAGUUGAAAUUCUUGCAGUACAUUAGCCUUGGUGGUUGUCAGAGUUUGACCAAGCUUCCCAGUAGCAUUGGACUGCUACAUGACUGGAGGUUUCUCAGUCUUCCCGGAACAAAUAUAAGUGUUGUACCAAGGGAUUUAUGUGGUCUAACUUCUUUGAGGAAAUUAUAUGGAUUUCCAGCCCACAUGGACUGUGAUCACUGUAGUUUGGAGGAACUAGGGCCUCUCUCCCAGCUGACAGAACUUUAUAUCAGUUUCUUGGAGAAUGUAGCUUCUUCCUCAUCUGCUAUACAGGCCAAACUUGGUGGAAAGAAGCGCCUAAGGUUUCUCUCACUGGGUUGCACCAGUAGAAAGGAAGAAGGGAUAUCUGAGAAAGCCAAGAGACAAAUCGAGGAGGUCUUUGAUGAGCUCUGCCCGCCACUUGGCUUAGAAAACCUUAACAUUGAAGGGUAUUUCGGUGAGCGGCUCCCAAGAUGGAUGAUGCCAGCACCAGUUACACCGCUUAGGAGCUUGAGGAAUAUAGUGAUGGAGAACUUGGCCUGUUGCACGGAGCUUCCUAGUGGCUUGAGUCAGCUCCCCUGCUUGGAGCUUCUGCAGAUUGUUCGUGCCCCAGCCAUCAAGUGUGUUGGGCAUGAAUGGCUACAACCAAACAAUCAAGUAGGUGUUGCGUUUCCCAGACUGCAGAAGCUGCGUUUUGAAGGAAUGGUUGAAUGGGAGGAAUGGGUGUGGGAGGAACAAGUGAUUGGCAUGCCUAUCUUGGAGGGGCUCACCCUGGAAAUGUGCAAGUUGAGGCGUAUGCCACCUGGCCUGGCCUUCCAUGCAAAGACUUUGAAGAAGUUAGGUAUAUAUGAUGUGAAGCAUCUAAGCUCUUUGGAGAACUUUGCUUCUGUUGUCCACCUCGAUGUGUUUAGAAACACUCACCUGGAGAGGAUCAGUAAUCUACCAAAACUGCAGAAGCUCGUCAUCGUCAUGUGCCCAAAGCUGAAGGUAGUGGACGGCAUUCCUGCACUCCAGAGACUCACUUUGGAGGAUUAUGGCAUGGACACAGUCCCUAGGUAUCUGCAGGAUGUAAACCCAAGGCAUUUGCAGCUGUAUUGUUCCAUAUCGCUGCUCACAUGCAUAGCAGCAGGGAAAUCCGGUCCCGAAUGGCACAAGUUUAGCGACAUCCAGCAAGUCAAAGCCUAUGCAAAUGAAGAAGGCUGUCCAAGGGAGUGGUAUGUGCUCUACACAAGGAACCCUUUCCGCUUCGAGACAAAUAUCAGCUACUCUGCUAUUGCCCAUGGUAAAUUCGAUGUGUCAUUAUUCACCUAAUAUCAGCUACUCAGCUACUCUGCUUCACCUAAUAUAGUAUUUUAUUCUCAAAUACACGGUUCCCUUCAGUCAAUUCGAUGUGUCAUUAUUCGCAGGCCGCAUGGCACGUGCUUGUUUUCCUUACUCCAAAACAUGUCCCGUUGAUGGUGAUCGGCCAUUAGAACAAGAACAACACAUGCAUGUUGACAAGAGUGUGCCACUCUGCUUACGGUUCAGGUAAAUUGGGUUGAUUGGUGGCUUCCAACCUGACGAAAAUCUCUCUCUCUCUCCUUGUGCAUGCCUGAUCAUCCGUAACACCAAAUCACUCACUCAUUGCAUGUUGCUUAACGUUUUAUCUAGUGUAACGUAUUUGGGCAACACGUGAAUGCAGGAACAAUGCGUACCGUCAUUUGACUUACUGGUUGCGUCAAGCCUGCCUGCACUGCUGUGAAACCGACAGGGUGGCUUCCACAACGGAUCAGUGGAUCGAAGCAGCGGGGGCUGCGGCAUACAGAUACUAUGAAAGAAAGAUCACGAGUGUAAUGUAAUAUGUGAAUAAGCAUUUGCUUGUUGCAGUUUAUGUGCUGCUUCUGGGCCAUAAACGUCUGAAGAACAGAAACGUUCCAUACCUGCACGGUUGUACGUACAAAACAAGACGUACUCUGUUUUCCAAGUUAAAUAGUCUGUACUCUACUUUCCUUGCAAUAACAUUUUGCAGUAUCAUUUAGCCAUUCCCUGCACAUGCAGAGUCCAACUCUUUUUCAGUGUUGUACACACAGCAAUGUUAGUAAGGCCUUGUUCAGUUGGCAAAAUUUUGGAAUUUCGGGUACUGUAGCACUUUCAUUUGUAUUUGACAAAAUAUUAUCCAAUUAUGGACUAACUAGACUCAAAAAAUUCGUCUCAUAAAUUAUAGGCAAAUUGUGUAAUUAGUUAUUGUUUUCAUCUAUAUUUAAUACUCCAGGCAUGUACCGCAAGAUCCUCCUCCAACAACACAUCACCGUUAAUUAGGCUUCUCGGAGGUGAACGUCAUGCGCGUCUUUGUUAAUGCCAUUUGCGCGCACUUGUGAUGUCCACUUCGUUAAUGGUCUCCACAAAACCCAAAACUCAAAAGAUUUGCAACUUCUGGGAAUCAAUCCCACAACAUGACAUUCAGGACUUCUUCAUCUCUAACACUACACUGCACACUCAAUUUGUGUCUAUAUUUAUUAUGCUAUUGUUUUAUAUUAAUAUUUCAUAAACUUAUAUUGGAUAUUUCAGCUAAUAAAUGGACUCAAGUGAAGAAGCCUUCAACUGUAAAGAUGUAAAUCUUCUCAAGUACUACAACUCUGUAUAAGAUGUAUCUCCAUCUUGGUUUAGUUGAAAAAUUCAAAAAAAAACUCAAAAUAUGUAAAUUUAUAAUAUUUGAGACUCUAAAUAACUUUAAAUAAAACAUGUAGCUCAUGUCGGCCACUAUAACUUUGGUAUUAACUAUGUGAACAUUUGUGAUCGUUUAACAAUUCCAAAUUUUGGAUUUUAGAGCCUAUAAGUUUUGAACACACAUUUUUUACUCUGAACCACUUCAAAUAAAAAUUUGUGACCUACAAAAUUGUAGAUUGGAUUGAGAACUAUAACAUUCAUAUAUACUAUGUCAACAUUUGAGGUUGUUUGAUAAUUUGAAAUUUGAAAUUUAAAAAUUUGUGAACUUAAACCAAUAUUUUAAGACACUAAAUAGUUUCAAUUAAAAAACAUAUGAACCAUACAGUUGUAGAUCCUAUCAAGAACUACAAGUUUGAUAACAAGUUUAUCUUCACCAAGUUUAUAUGAAGCCAGCAUCCUAGCUUCCUUGAUUGAAUCAGUGGACCGAAGCGGAGGCGUAUAAAUAUUAUGAGACUCAGGCCUUGUUUAUUUCCUCCAAAAAACCUAAAAUUUUUUAAGAUUCUCUAUCGCAUCGAAUUUGUAAACGCAUGCAUGAAGUAUUAAAUAUAGAAGAAAUUAAAAACUAAUUGUACAGUUUAUCUAUAAUUUGCGAGAUAAAUCUUUUAAGCCUAGUUAGUCCAUGAUUAGACAAUAUUUAUCAAAUACAAAUGAAAAUGCUAUAGUGUUCAAAAAAAAAUUUGUUGAGGAACUAAACACGGCCUCAGCAUAGAUGUCUUGCUGACCAAAAACUUUUCAAGAUUCCCCGUCACACCAAAUCUUACGGCAUAUGCAUGAAUCAUUAAAUAUAGUCAAAAACAAAAACUAAUUAUACAGUUUAUUUGUAAAUCGCGAGAUAAACUUUUUAAGUCUAGUUAGUCCAUGAUUGGACAAUAUUUACCAAAUAAAAACGAAAGUGCUACAAAACCAAAAAAAUUUAGGCACUAAACAAGGCCUGACUGUUAGAACACCCAUGGUCACUUGGUUCUGUAGUUUGACGAAGGCUGCCUGCACUGCCGUGAAGGCGACGGCAUCGAUUCCCCAUCAGAUCAGUGGGCAGAAGCAGCAGUGUAUUCUGGGUGUACACAGAUUAUUAUGCAUGCAUUUUGGGAAUUAUCGUUGUUCUGCAUCUGUACCUUGUGCUCGUAGGAGCACAAAACAGAGCUUGUUCUGUUUUCAGACAUUGUUCACUCUGCUUUCUUGAUGCUCCUCAAGUUGCUGUACCCAAGCCAAACUAGCAUACGAAUUAGCGGUCUCAUCCCAGCCAUCAAUCAAAUGCCCAUCGCCCACUUAGCAAGUCUUCCUGUUUGCUACCAACGGGGGCUUCACAUCUACCGUCGGUAUUAUUAUUUCCUCAUUCAAUCUCCUCUGUUAAACACGUCAAAAUUCCCUUAUAUAUAGCCGCAAAGAAAUGGACGAAUAUUGGUGUCUUUUAUGACGAGAGCUGGUUGUAACAUCCAUUAUUGAGAGCAGUGGAAGCAAGUUCGGACUGAACUGCAGCAGCAAUUUACAAGCCCGUUUUGAUCGCGUGUGUUGGAAUGGAACCGCUCGUGCCCAGGCUCUGGAUGGAUGGUUUUCGGCUUCCCUGUGUCUCCCUCUUGCACGCUGGCUGCCUGCUGCUCCCUGCUACCAUCAUCUCCUGACAAUUUUAUAUGUCUCAUCCGUUGCUCAUUUCCAACCAUCUCGUGACUCAAACAUCUACUUUCAUCUACGUUCCAGUGUUAGAUGGCGACGACCCGAAGUACUAUAUGCCCCUUACUUUAUCCUUCUACGUUUUAUAUCCUCACCACACCAACUUGGCAUAAGUUGGCCAAAUGUCAUACAUCAUUACAUUAUUUAAUUUACACAGGAUAGACAUUGACCAAGGCUAGAGCCUCGCAUAGUCAAGACAGGGGUCACCUUCAUCCAACCAACACGCUGAGUCUGAUUUGUCGUGACCAUUUUAGAAUAUAUAAUCCCAAAACAUCUGAUUCCACUACUAAAGGUGAUGAUUCUUAUAAUAUAUUUUUAUAAAAAAAAAAUAAAAAAUGCAGAAAGUGGAAUGCACAAAAUAUUGUUUCCACAAAGACUACAAAAAUAGAUUGCACAAUCGUCUUAGUGCGUGUUUGGAUUCCACCACUAAACGAACGAAGCUGCCAGGCACUUUCCUUUCUCACCUUGCGCUGUCACCACACGACCCACUCCAACCACCAUCUCCUUCCCUGAAUCAUCACCGUUUUCCUUCCCAGCUCAAGCAGCCAAGCAGAAGACACCAACCAGCUACUGCGACUCUUGCGGACAACCUAAAUCCAUCUUGCUUCUCAUCCUUUUCAUCACAAUCCAGCAGUAGCAUCUGGUUGGUCAGGUCGGCGAUGUCCAUGCCGAUUCCUGCCUAGCCAUUGACCAAUAAUACAUCCUGUUGUUGCACGACCAAGAAAGAACAACACUGGCAACGCCUCUCCGCUUCCGUCCACUGCUCAGCUCAUCGGACUCAGGUUUGUUUCCUUAACCGUUACGUUUCUGCAGUGGCUUAUGCUUAGCAAGAUCUGCCCAUAUAGCUACUGCCCCCAGUGAUGUAGUUGUUAUGAUUCGGCACAUAAAGUUGCCACUGUCAUGUAGUUAUAUCAAUGAACGAGAAGUCAGUAGUAGUGCCACGAUGACUGAAUAUAUAGAUGGAAGAUGAUUGAAUCUUUUGCUGUACAAAAUAAAAAUGCCAUGUUGAAAUUAACAUCUGUUCUGAUUUUGUUAUAGAAAAAAAACAAAGUUCUCAAUCAUGGCCGGUGUACUAGAUGCUUUGGCGUCCUACAUCCAAAACAUGCUCCUGCAGAUGGCGGCAGAAGAGGUGCAUAUGUUGCUUGGGGUGUCCGGUGAGAUUGAUAACAUGGACAUCAAGCUUCGGGAUCUGAAGAACAUCCUUGCUGAUGCUGAUAGGAGGAACAUCACUGACAAAAGUGUCCAAGCAUGGGGGAUAGAGCUAAGGAAUGCUAUGUAUGAUGCCACUGACAUCCUAGACCUUUGCCAGCUCAAGGCCAUGGAGCGAGGCAAAAGGCAAGAUGUUGGAUGCUUCAACCCGUUGCUCUUCUGCAUGCGGAAUCCCCUACAUGCCCACGACAUUGGAAGCCGCAUCAAGAACCUUAACAAGAAGCUAGACGAUAUCAAGGCACGUGGUGCAUCAUUCAACUUCCUGAACCUUAGUACUUAUGAGGAUCAUGGAAGAAACAUGGUAUCAUAUGGUUCAGCUACCCGUGAGACAUCAGCGGGGCUUGUUGAGUCUGGUUUGGUUGGUGAGAAGAUCGAAGAGGACACAACAAAUCUAGUGGAGAUGCUAACAAAGAAGUAUUCUACCAACGACAACAAUUCAAACAAAAUAAUGGUUUUCUCUAUUGUGGGAGCUGGUGGGAUUGGUAAAACCACCCUUGCUCAAAAGAUCUUCAACAAUGAAGUCAUAAAGGAUGAGUUCAAAAAGAAAAUAUGGUUGAGUGUCAACCAAGGCUUUGAUGAUAUUGAAAUGUUAAGGAGGGUUAUUAUCGAAGCUGGUGGAAACCACCAUGAUUGUGGAAAUGCAAAGGUGUCCUUAGAACACAAUCUAAUAGAAGCUUUGAAGGGACAGAAAACCUUAUUAAUAAUGGAUGAUGUCUGGGACAGCCGUAUAUGGGAAGCCGUGCUUAGAACUCCCUUUGUCAAUGCCAUGCUAGCUGAAGGUAGCCGUGUGCUGGUCACCACAAGGCAUGACACAGUGGCACGUCAGAUGAAGGCGGAGGAGCCCUACCAUCGUAUUGACAGACUUGGGCUUGAAGAUGCAUGGAUGCUGCUCAAGAAGCAGGUACAAGUUAAUCAAUACAUUUAUUACUUUUCAUUAAUCAUGCAUUAUGUUUUCCAGCUGCAUCACUUUAGUUUUGCUUCUAUCUUAGUAGUGGGAACUAGAUUCCCUGUCUUGGCAGCAACUUCUAUUUUUCUUCUUUGUUUCAACCAUGUAGUUCUGUGGUGGUGACCUUCGAAAUAUAAGAUAAAGAAACAAAAUGACAUACUUCCUUGCGUUAGCAUUGUAAUAUCUUGCAUAUGCAGUCAUGUAGACUCCACAUAGUGCAGGUAUUCACUUUUUUUGUUAAAGCAAUUCAAAAUUGGACAUUGUAUUACACUCCCUCCUUUUUUUUUAAAAGAACUUGAGAUCUGUAGGUUCGAUUGGAUCUGUAAUUGGCUGUAAUGUAGGCAAUAUGAAAUGGCGAAUUAGUAACUAAUUUAAAUUCACAAACUAAGGAAACCAUAAUAAGUAUGUUUAUCACUAUUCUUUUUAGAGUAAAAUAAAAAAA
rnacentral:lncRNA from 1 species